rnacentral:lncRNA from 1 species
AAGAUUUUCAGUGAUAGUUUCCAAACUGUCGCUAAAUCUUGUUGUUGUUGUUGGAAGAUUUCUCAAAGGGCUAUUGAGCAUUUGAGACAAUUUCUGCAGCGCUUUCUAAAAUUGUUGCAUAUUGCUUUAAAGAAUUUUUUCCAAUCUUUUGCAAGCAAGGUGUUUUCUCAAGUGGGAGAUUCUAUAACAUUACAAGAAGAUUUUUGGUCCCUUAAAUGUCCCUUUAGGAAUGGACUUGGUAUUUUUGUGUUGGCUCACAAAAAUAUUAUUAGUUGGUUAUGUUUAUGCACUUAUAAUUUUAUGCAUGUUUGUGUUGUUUAUUUUAUGCAAUUAUUAUGUGUGGUUGAUAAAUUAGUUUUUCACAUGCUAAAAUAAUUUUAGACAAAAUAAACACCACAUGGAGUUUGGUUUUCAAAAUUUAUAAUGUGGACAUAAGAUGUAACAAGUUAUUGUUUUAAAAUAAAAUCUGGUUUUAUAAAAAUGUUAAUAACGUCAAAUUUUGAAAUACUCAAAUAUAAGUUUAAAAUUGUGAUUUUUGAAACUUAUACAAAUUCCAAAUAUAUAUAAGUAAUAAAAUGAAGUUUUAUUAAAGAUAUAAAAAAGGUUCAAAUGCACUCAAACUUAAUACCGGUUAUUAAAAUUGAAUUGCAUUAAAUUAUAUAAAAACUAGCUUUUUAUAUAGAACCUUUUAAAGUGAUAUUCUUUUUGAAAAUUGAUACCAUGGUUUACUAUAUUCAUGUAAUAACCAUGAUAUCAUACGUUUUUAAACUAGAAUUAUAAAACAUAUAAAAGACCCUUUUACAAACCUCAAAUCUAUGCAAUCCAUCUUGAAGAACACUCGCACAUCUCUUGUAUGCACUAGUAGGAUAAAGGAUACAUAACCGCUUAGUGUUAUCUUUUGAUGGUCGGGGUGUCUUCCCGAUUUCUAUAACCAAGUUAUAGGUUGAUCACACAAGUUUUUUAAAUUGGAUGAUUUGAUCGAAAUCAUUUGUGAUAAAGGAUACCUAAGCAAGAGAGUUUCGAGGCAUAGAUGGGAUCAAACAUGUUUAAUUAAAUUUGUUAUUAGCGAUCCCAUAAAGCUAGGACUUAUAUAGUAAGAUAUAAAUGAUAAUCGAUAUCUACCAGGUUGAAUUCAAAUAGAUGGGAUAAAGGAUAUCUAACCAUUUAUUUGUUUUGCAACUUGGAUCCUAGACUUUGAUAAUUAAUGUUUUUGAAAACUAAAAUGGUAUUAAUUAUUAAAGAGUUUAAAUAUUGAAAGUACUAAAUGAAUUUUGUUAAAACUUUGUAGUUAAAUAAUUCAUUCUCAUUACCAUGAAAUUGUCAUUUUUCUUUAAUGAUUUAAUGAAACAAUAACAUUCACUAGAUACAACUUCAAUGAAUGGGUUCAUGCCUUAAGAGACAAUCUCACAAGAGAUAUGAAAUUGCAUACACUUAAUGGUCCUAGUCCUAAACUAUUUGCUUUGAGCAAUAAGCCUGAACAUGAUACCUAGUAAAGGCAUCACUAUGAUGCUAAAGAUGUUUCUAACACCAAACUAGGAAUAGUUCAAAGCCCAAAAGAGUCACAUUGUGUGAUCUAGGAGGCCCAUGUUUUAUGGACUGAACACCAUUAUGCCCACGAAAUCCAAUAAGGCUCACAUAGAUUGAUCUUGUUUCUUUUGUGGGGAAACUGGACACUGGAAGAGGAUAUGCUCCUCUUAUCUGGAAAGAAAGUUUAGAAGAGACUAGUACUUCAGGUAUCUAUUAGAUAGAACUCAUAUUUUUCAUAUAACACUUAGGUACUUGGUACUUAAAUGUUAAUCUAAUAUUUGUAAUUGGCUUGCAAAUAUUUACUGAAGAGUAAUCAGCUGAGCACAAUCAAGUCAGAACUGUACUCUCUGAGUUUAGUUUAUUAAUUAUGCUAGGAACAUAAUGCAUUUGUAUUAUGAAACAAUGUUUGUUUUGGAACAACGUAUGUUUUAAUUUAGCUUGCCUAAAUAUUUGCCUCGGUUAAUUUAUGAAUGAUUGACUAUUUACUUAAAUCGUUUUUCAUAACGGUCACUUUCAUAUUCGGAAAUGAUUAAAAUUCUUUUUUCUGAGACUUGAUCUCCUAAUAAAAAUUAUAAAGUAAAUAUCAAUAUUUUAUAAAUAACAAGUUCUAUAUGCCAAAUACUUUUGACUGAAAGUUGUUUUAAAUCAAACUCAUCUUUGACACUGUUAUCUUUAUUAUACAAAUCACAUUCACAUAUUCCAACUUCAAGAAAUGGAUUUUGAAGGCAAAUAAUGUAGUUUAUUUGACAUAUGUAAAUAUUAUUUAUAUAUAAAGGAUUCCUGAUGAUAUUUUCAUUGAGUAGUAGAGAAAAUAAAUUAUUAAAGGACUAUACACUAUGGUAUAUAACUUCCUUUCUAAUGAAUGCCUAAUAUUUAGUACAAGAUACCAAAUCUACUUUAUUAACAACUAUAGUAUUUAUAAAUUAUAUUUUACAUGUUAAAACAUAAUUAUGAAAUCUUUGUUUAAGUUUUCAAAUAUAAAGUUGAAAUACAAAUCGGUAAGAACUAUCUAAGGCCUUAAUGAUAAUAAAUGAUUAAUUAAAUUAUACUUGGUAUGAUUUUCUUUCUAAUCGGUAGAAAUGUUCUCCUUUUAUUUCAUUGGGAUAACACCUAUAACACUAUCAAUUGUACCUUGAGUACAAACACCAACUAACUAGUAGAUAUAACAUUUUCUUCAUAAGAUUUUGUAUGGAAAGGCUCCAUACCUAUCUUACUUAAAUGUUUUAUGGAUUUAAAGCCUAUGUUUGAUGAAAGUUUUUAAACCCAAAAUCUACUAAAUACAUAUUUGUAUAUGAUACUCUAAAUGUGGCUUAGAUUAUUAAAAGUAAAUCCACCAAGAAUAAGUUUUUCUUAUUCCUCUAAUAGUUGAGUUAGAAAAAAGCAAGCCUCUAAUGACAAAGGAAGUGGGAGGUACAUGGAACUUGAAGCAGCUCAAGAACCAUUACUUGAUGUAGUAAUAGUUGGCACUAGUUUUAACAAAGGAUUGCUAAACCUGAAUAAUAUUUAUUCACAAACACAAAUUGUUCUCUUUAGUGAUAAAAAUCAUCUAUGAAUUGAGAAAUGUGUAAUCUCUUAUUGAUGAGCUUUUCUUGAUGAUUUUGAGGAAAUCCAUCAAAUACCAAGAUGUUAUGUCAGAUCUCGAAUCUGAUUAAUGACUUAGAGUCAUGAACAUGAUAUGUAAUCCAUGUAUGAUAAUCAAGGAUGGUCUUGGUUGAAAUUCCUCUCUAUAGCAAGGCUAGAAGGAUAAGGUGAUUCUUCUAGAAAGAAUACAUUACAAGGAUAACUAUACAUAUAUAAAGCAAGACUUGUUAUAAAAGGAUUUUCUCAUACUUAUAUCAUUGAUUGUGGUCCUUAUCAUACUCAUGACAUUGACUAUGAUCAAACCUUUUUUUCACAAGUAGCUAUGAUUAGAUUAAUAAGGAUAUUGUUUACUAUAAGUUCAUAUUCUCAAUAUGAAAUAUAGCAAAUAGAUUUCAAGAAAUACCGCUUUUCCUAAUAGACAUCUACUAGAAGAUAUCUAUAUAGAUUAGCCCGGAGGUUUUCUUAAUCCAUGUUAUCCUAACAAAAUGUGUAAAGCUUGAGGUCCACUUGUGGAUAUAAAGCAAACAUCUCCAUGUUGCAAUCAUCAUUUUAAUGUAAAACCACAAGGUAUGUUUUUAUAUCAAAAUGAAUAGAACAUGUGUGUUUAGUAAGAACUAGUAGGAGCAUAGUGAUAUUUCUACUCUAAUAUGAAUGAGACAUAUUGAAUCAUGAGAAAUUACAUUCUGACCAUGCCAGGACCUUUCAACUUGACUCAGAAUGUAUUAUUAAAAUGAAAGACAUAGGAAUGACAAGAUACAUCCUUGGAAUGUAAAAUCUAUUGAGUUAGAUAAAAAGAAUGUUAAAAGUUUUAUAUAUCCUUAUGCAUAAUGUCACACCCCCAAAUCGGAACGGCGGAAACGAUCGGGGGUGGAGGACGUCAUGUUUAGUAUCACAACACAUGCAUCAUAGUAAUCAAAGUAACAAAAAAACCAUUGCAUUUAUAUGAAUGUGCUUACAAAGUAUGUGAUUCACAUAAGAUUGACUCCAAAAGUAAAUAACAAAACAAGACAUGAAGCUACUAUGCUCCAUCUUCUGAAUCCCAGUGUGCAUACCUGUCUACUAGGUUCCUAAGAAUACAAAUUAUUUUGAAAGAGUAGAUCAACAUUUAAGCUGGUGAGUUCAUAAGUAUUUAAGUGAUGAAAAGUAAGUUGUAAGUUCUUUUGGAAAAUUUUGUCUGUUCCUCCAGAAAAUCCUAUAUUUUCUGAUAUGAUGAAUGAAAGUAAAAAUGACUCUACAAUUCCUUCUGUGAGUACUAAAUGGAUACAAGUUAUAUACAAUUUAGAGUAAACAGACAAUCGAUUGUGUGAAUCUGCCCUAAGCUCACAACCAAACAAGGAACAUGAAAUGAGGCGGAAGUCACACAUCCCAAUGUUUGUCAGAUCUUCACUGUAUAUAACCCUGGCGUAUUCAUUUGGUAAUUAUGGAGAUAACUAUAAUAGUUCUUUAUAUUUGAUGAAAAUAUUCUUUAAGAAAAUCAUAUAUUUCCUUUAGUAAAAAUGGUAACCACAAUAGUUCCUUCUAUAAUCAAUUAGUUUAUACUAGCUAUAUAUAAUCUAAUAUCGAACGGACAGUUAAAUGGGUGAAUCUGCCCUAAGCCCACAACCAAACAAGGAACAGGAAGUAAGACGGAAAGCACACAUCCAAUUGCCUAUCAGAUAUUAAUUAUACAUAACCCUGAUGUAUAAACUAAGGUAUUAUAGAAUUAACCACUAAAGGUCCUUUGAGUUAUACUGGUUUAAUAAAAUGAAUUAAACCCUUUGGCUGAUAAGUUUCUAUUUUAGCCUACUAAAUGUUCUAUAUGAAAAGUAUGUUUUUGUACUAGAAAAUGGUAUAUUGAAUUUGUAUACUAUGACAUGCCCAUACCUGGUACUCCUUAUGAUUACUUGGUGUAUACGGAAUAUAUAUAUAUAUAUAUAUNUAUAUAUAUAUAUAUAUAUAGCUAAGAUCGAAUAGAUAGUAGACUGGGUGAAUCUGCUCUAAGCCCACAACCAAAAAAGGAACAGGAAAUGAAGCGGAAAGCACACAUUCUACUGUCUACCGGACCCGAUUAAUAUAUAUCCCUGAUGUAUCUAUCGAGGAAUCAUAAAGUUAGCAUUAUAGGCCCCCUUUUAACUGAAUAUACUAAGAAUCGACUGUUCUAUUUGUCUUUUGUAAUGAUGUAAGUUUUCCAAGUUUAAGACUAUCUUUACUAGAAAAUAGUUUGCAUUACCUUUUAUGUGAGAAGAUCACUAUAUGAAUGUAAUGGGAAAACUGAAAGUAUUCAGUAAUAUUGUAUAAAGUAACUACUGAAGCACUAACUACCUUAAAACUAGUUUGUUAAUAAAGGUUAAAAUGUGAUGUGGUUAUAACCAUACUGAUUGAUGAGUAUAUAACACGACGACCUGCUGGCGUCGAAACUGAUGUGACAUUUGUCACCCCUUGGCCUGUCGGCCAAACUGUAGUGAAUAGUCGGGAUGCGGGAUUGUCAGUCUCGUAUAGAUCUAUACACACAAUGCUCGUUCUCCGUCUAGGAGACUCUGGUUACAAAAGUGACCUAACAAGUAUAGUGCUAAGCCGUGAAGUAGUUUCACAUUAAUGUUAUCUUGUUCUUGUAAAAGGUUGUAUGUUCCUUUCUGUUUUUGUUAUUGUAUGUUCCUUUCUGUUCUUGUUAUUGUAUUUUUUGAAACCCCUAAACUACACCUAUUAUAUUUUACUAGUAUGUUUGUUUUGUAUUGUCCCUGAUUUGUAGAAAAUAAUCAAUUAUCUACUGAGUUAUGAUUAUAUUUUAAAAACAAAGUUUUAUAAACAACAAAGUAACAUAACUUUAAAAGAGUUAUUGAAAUGAUUUGAUCACUUAUAAAAGCAUAAGAAAUCCUUUAAAAUGAUGGUUAUCACAGAUAAACAUUUACACAAUAUCAUUAUGUUCAACUUGUAUUGCUCCCCCCUCCCUUAAAAGCAUUUAAAGCAUUUAAAAGAUUGAUUAUAGGGGUAUGAACUCACCUUAUGUGGGUGAUUCAAUUGAAGAUUCGCGUAAGGAUGAGAAGUUCCACGAAUGAAGUCCUGUGGCACAAACGAGUCCUAAAUGACAUAUAUUGAUACAUAUAUGUAUAUAAUUAGUGCCUAAAACAACUAAUCAUGAAGGGAAACAACCUUAGGAACUAGGAAAAACUUGAUAUGAAGUGUUACAAUCAUAUGUGAUUGAUAAAAGGGAUUUCACGGCCACACUAAGUGUGUUUACGGCCACACUAGAGUUUACGGACAGAACACAUGAUGUGUUCACGGCCCAAGCUUGAUUCUAUGAAGUGGUUGGGGUCCUAUUCUUGGUCUUAAGAAGGUUCACGGCCAAAAUCAUGACUUUAUGAAGGGUUUACGGCCAAAGGAAGAGUUUACGGCCGUAACCUCUUGAGGAUUAUGCACUAAUUGUUUGUUUCAUGGCUAGGAAUCAAGUGUUUCUUAUGGGUAACAAGAUGAUGGAAGAGAUACUCACACUUUGGAGGUCUUUAAGGUGUUUGCGGCCCAAGAAACAAGUAGGUGUUCUUGGUGAAAAGGAUGAUGAUUUGAAGAUCUAACCCAAAAGAGUUGAAUUCAUGGAUGAAAUCAAUGGGUUUUACAAGAUCAAGAAGAAUAUCAAGAAACAAUGGAAGAAUCACAUACAAUAUUGAAAAGAAAUGGAAGUGUUCUUGAUUAUACUUGAGAGAGAAAUGAGUUUCAGCCGCCUUGAAGAUGUGAAGAAUGAUGAAGAAAUGAAGGAAAUUGAUACAUAAAGGGGAGGGGUUCACAACUGGCUAGAGUUUACGGUCGUAAACUCUAGUUUGCGGCCGUAAACUCCUUGUGAUGGAGUUUCUGGAUCGAUUGCAACCCAAUAAACUUUAUCUAACACAUCCCUACACACAAUCCUUAAGUGUACUAGGCUUAGAACACUCAAACAGACCCCUAACAAUGCUAAAAGAUAGCAGAAACACGUCUGACAUUUGAUUGGAUUGAUUGGCUUUACCAGAUAGAAAUUUUGGGGUGUCACACAUAAAUUAAAAUAAUUGAAAUGAUUUAUAUUCGAUUUGCUUGGAAAAUGAAUCCAUCAUUUAUGUCAUAUUAUACAUAAAACCUAGUAUAUGAUCAUGAUAGGCGCAUAUCAUAAUAUACAAAUUAGAUACAUGGUUAAGUCACCGAAUGACUAUAGGAACAUUGUAAGAGUACUUUAGAAGGACUAAGAGAAUGUAUAUGAGACAUAUAGUUUAGAAUAAAAUCUUCAUGUAAAGAGCUACAUAAGAUUCUAAUUUCUCUCUCUCUCUCUCUCUCUUUAUAUAUAUAUAUAUAUANNNNAUAUAUAUAUAUAUAUAUAUAUAUGAAUUAUAAUUGGAUUAUGACUUUAUUGUGGAAUGAAGAGUAAGUUUUGUUGGAAUGAGGUCCAACCAAAACAAAAUGACACAAUAUACUACAAUAUAAGAAUACACUACUGUAUAAUUUUAAAUAUAAUAUGAUUGGAUGAAUGAGUUCAUUGAAAAACUAUGUUGAUUUCUGCCAUUCAAAGAUCACAUAGAAAUCUUUUUGACUUUGAGAGUAUGCUUAAUCAAGCUAAGAAACUCUAUGUCACGAAAGAACACCAAUCAUGUACUCUGAGAUAUUUGACUAUAUCAAGAGUAAAGUCAAAUAUGGAGAUGAUAGUAUUCAUAGAAUUCACACAAAUUAAGUUUAGUCGAACCCAUUAAUAAAGUCUUUCUUCUGAGCUAAGUAUGAGUGGUCACACUUCAGCUAUAAUACUUAAUUAUUCUAGAAAUGGGAUUUUAAUUUGGAUUUAGUAUUUGGAUAUUGUAACAUUGUAACAACAACUAUUAUAUAUUGUUUUGAUAUACUGGGAUAUGAUCAUAACAUCAAUACUUUUUGUGUUCUAUAUUAACAUGUUUAAUCCAUGAAUAAUAUUAUUAUUCUAAAAGUUCAAUGUCGGUUAUAAUUGUGGGAGAAAUUAUGAAAUAAGACUAAUAUUAAUUGGAUUGGUUGACUUUCAUUGGAUGAAGGUUGGCAAUGGGUUGUAACCAAGUUUCAUAGGCUCUUGUCAUAGAACUGGUCUUGAAUUGACAUGCAUCAAGAUCAUCUUAUGGAUCACUAUCAUGAAUGAUACUUUAUUAAAGGUACUACAUGUGUAUCCUUAACACCUAAGAUACAUAACAGGACUUAAGUUAUGGAGUGUUGUGCUUAGAUAUGGUCAAACACUGGUCCUUAAUCGGGUAGUUAUAAAAGUUAUUUUCAGGUAUGGUAUGAACUAUGCAAGAGGCUUAUGUAGUCAAAAUGAGAUUGUUCCUCUUAUGUGUUGAGAGUUAGAAAUAUAAGGCGCCUUACCAAAAGUUAAACACCAAAUGAUAUUUAAAAUUAUUUGUAUCUCAUGUUCAACAUGAUGUCUGUGACAAAAGGAUAACUGAUAAACUUACCUUAUACACCAAUUGUAACUUGGAGCUUUUUAGGAAUUCGAUGUUGAUAGAAUGGCACAAAGUCGUAUGUUGAUGAGGGCAGUGAAAUGUUGGUAGACGUUCACCACUUUCUAUAUCAGUCGAAUAUGAGUCUUGCGCAAGUGAGAGAUUGAAGGAUCUUAUAUGAUCAAGAAUCAUAUUAAAAUGAUAUUGCUAAUUAACAUAUGAUACUAAUGGGUCACACUAACAACAACUUGAUAGGAUUGGUUGUUUAUUAGAAAUUGAUUUUAAUAAAUAUUAAAUAAAUUCUUAUAAUUAAAUUGGAAAUUAUUUAUUUCUAGGAAAUAAUAAUUUUUUAUUUGCAAGUAACAUUACAUAAUUCAUAUGGUAUGAAUUAUUAUCAUGUACAACAUUUUGGACUAGAUAAAUUCUUUUGUCUUUUACCAAAAAGUUAAAGUUUAUAUUUUAUAAACUUGGUUUAUAAAAUAUAAAACUCAUGAUUUAUUUUUAUAUCUUAAUGGCCAAAAAUAGAUGGAGGGACAAGAAAGUUAGGAAACAACAUGAUUGUAUUAAUUUAUUCACAAAGUCAUGCUUUUGUUUUUAUAGACUUCUGUUGCUAGGGACAUGUUGUCUUUAAGCACAACCUUGCUUUAAGUUGAGUAAAUUACUAGCUUUUGGGCCUUGUUUUUUACUAGUAAAAAACAUGAGAUACAUGGGGAUAUGCAUUACUCUCUCAUUUUGUUCAUCUUAUGAUUAUAUUGCUUGCAUCUUAUACUCUCUUGAAGUUCAUAUUGGUUAUGAACUUCAAGCUUAAGAGAUUAAGAGUUUCCUUACAAGACUAGCAUCUUAAGUCAUGUUGACAACUUUUUGGUGUCUCAAAAGUUCUACGUUCUUCAUCAACUUCCAAGCCUCCUAAGAGGAUCCAAAGAACUACAAAGGUUGUUAUUUGUUCUUCUUCUUCUCUGGUUGUGUUUGUUUUCUUUCCAAACUUUGCAAGAUGAUCAUUGGUGGGUUAUAAACUUGUUUUAUGUUAUUCAAAUCAUCAAGUCUUCCGUUGCUAAAUAUUAUAUUUUUAAAUAAAAACCCAACACUUUGAACCUUGAUAACUCUUGUAUACGAACUCUAUUUGAGUUGAAUUUUUUUCAUUGUAUUAUUUGUAACAAGGGCUAUCAAUGGACAUAUCACCUCGAUAUUUGGAUAUCAGAAAGUCAUAUUUUGUAAGCUCCAAAGUAGGGUACUUGUUGGUUUUUCAAGUUUUUCAAAUAUUGUUAUAUAUAUAUAUAUAUAUAUAUAUAUAUANNNNNNNNNNNNNNNNNNNNNGACACAGAAGGGUGUAUCAUUAUAUAUUGAUUAAAUACAUCACAAAACUAAGAAACCACUUGAAAAGUCUAAAAUCAUAGCCUUCAUCACAAAUGCCUUCACAAAUGCUAACAUCGGUUUCAAUAUUUCCAUACUCAACACGGGGAAGAAAAUAUAUCUUGAACCACUUGAUUUCUUCACAACUUGCACCAAAUGAACCAAGAAAGCUUGAGAUUGAACCCUAAGGUUUUUCUUAUCCUUGAAUCGCCAUUUCAUAGCCUCAUUUCUUCUCUUUAUGUUGUCCCUUGGAUGAAAUGAAGAUAGUGUACACUUAUUUUUGGAUUUUUCACAUUUGGUCCCUCUAGUUUGUUCAUUUCGUCCAAAACUCACUAAACCUCAAUAUUUGUGACUUUAACUCAAGUUUUGACAUAAGAAGUCCUUCCUCAGCCAUUUUAUAACCUAGAUAGUCCCUUCCAUUGAGUCAACCCUUUGGUUAACUCACUUUGCCAAUUGACACGUUUGGGCAUCUAACCUUUAAAAUGUUUUUAUUUUCACUUCUAAUUUUCCUCUCAUCACAUUUGAAUUUCCUCGAUGGCCACAUCACCUUGGUCGUUUUUCACAAUUAGUACAAGUAGUUAAUGAUCUAAGGUCAAAUGAUUAGAAUAAUACCAAAUCAACAAACAAAAAUUAACCCAAUAUAUAAAGAAAUAGGGUGUUUAUAUAGUCUAAAAUGUUGUACAAACUAUAAAUUCAAUGCUGAAAUAACGCAAAUUUAACUUUGAUACCAUAUGUUCUUGGACUGGUAAUGUAACGUCCCAAAAUUCACGACCAAAAAUUUCAUUUUAAUAAUAAUAAAACCAUCAUCCAAAACGUUUUCAUAAAACCAUAAUGUAAUCAGAGUAUGUCAAUAAUCAUCCAAAUACAUCAAGUCAACAAAAUGUGGAACAAUAUGGUGUGUGCGAUGCGAUCAUCCCGAGAUCUUCCCAUUCGAUCCAGAAGUACCUGAAAUAUAAACUGAAAAACUGUAAGCAUGAAGCUUAGUGAGUUCUCCAAAUACCUCAUACCAUACAUAUCAAACAUACAAUGGACCAUGCCCAACAACCAUCAAGCCACGCUCCGAACAUAUCUGUCAGAACAUGAGAUGGGUCCCAUCCGUCACAUUCAUCAGGCCCUACCUGGCAUCGAGCCCCGCUCGGUAUACAUAUAACAUACUACACAUGCAAGAGUCACACAGACAACUAGCAUCCUAACAUAAUAAAUCAUGGGACAGAAUUGUUGUCAUCGACCCGUCAAGCACAGUGAGGAGACUCACCUCAAACAGCUGAAAAUCAGCUAAAUGCUUGGACUAUUGAUCCGAAAAAUCCUCACGCUAAACAAUCAAACAAUACCCUAAUUAACAAUUAGGUUAAAAUUCAUAAUCGGGGUCCCCGACCCAACACCCUCGGACUCAAGGGUAAAAGACUAUUCUACAUUUUCCCUUAUUGGUACCAACUAGCUUGGCCUCCCCAAAUUCAUUAUCAUUUUACAAAAUUUAUUUAUGCUUAUUUUAAAAAUCAGAGUAUCCAUUUUAAAAAGUAGUAUUGCGGAAUUUGUUCCAAAAAAAACAUGAUAAUAAUAUCAUCAACGCAUUUCCAAAUAAAUGUAUUUUGUUUAUAUUAAAACUUUGAGAUGUCAUUGUCAAUACAAAAACAUAAGCAUAAACAAACCUUACAUUCAUUUACACUAAUGAUCACAUCUCCUUUAACUUCUCAGUGUAAUGUAGCUUCGUAUCGACACCUAUGAUACAAAUAAACUGAGUGGGUUAGGUUGGGAAACCUACUGAGUACAUAGGGUUUUCAACCCAUAAUAAUAAAGUUCUUUGGUUUCAUCAUCAAACAAUUAACCCAAUUACUCAUCCCCUCCCCCCCAUUAUCUUCUUUAUUCUUAAUUAUCUUCCCUAAGAAUCAUCUAUUCCUCAAUAUUUAUUCCUAAGGAAUGUCCUAAGGAAUAGGCAUGAAGUCCAUCGCUGCCAGGGUUUAUAUAACAGACACUAAGUCCAUAGUUGCCGAUGUUAUCUAUUAGGCACUAACUCCAUAGUUGUUGAUGUUAUCUGUUAGGCACUAACUCCGUAGCCGUCAAUGUUCAUUUGUAAGGCACUAAGUCCAUAGCUGCCAAUGCUCAUCUAUAAGGCACUAAGUCCAUAGUUGUCAGGGUUUUUAGAGUACAUCUGGUGAACACAUUGUUCACAACACCUACAGGUUGCGAGUCUGAUAGUGUUCCACAGGAUUGUCUAGAAUAGUUUGUGGUUGUCAUCUAUACUCUGCUAGAUUACUAGGCCAUCGCUUGGGUCAUCGUUUCUCAUCAUCUUUCACCUCUCAUCAUUUAUAUCAUCUUUCAUCUCUCAUCAUUCAUCUCUCAUCCCAUCUUUCAUCUACCCAUCUUUACCUAUCAUAAUUAUAGGUAUAAAAUAUGUAUACAGUUUAAAUCAAAUAAAACAUGUAUAUUUUGUUCAUCCAACAUAGAUAUAAAGAACACAUAUAAUAUGCACACAUAGCACAUAAUUUAUAUUAAAUACGUCAUAUCUAUGUGUAAGAUGAAAGUAACUAUGCACUCACUUGUUAAAGUGAUGAUUCCAAACUCGGGCAGCGCUUCGCUUCUAACAAGUAUAUUCUCCUUUGACAAAAUCUAGUAUCAUUACCGCUAGAUUUAGUAUAAUAUUUACAGCAACUAUUUACGAGAGAUAUUGUUUUAUAAGUGUUAAAUAAUACUUUUCAACCACUAUGUACAAAUAGGGGUCAUACAUGAAACACCGGAGGGCGGGACCAUUUUGGCAUUAUAGUUGUUCUGAAAUCCAACAAUCCUAUGCGACCCUUCAAACCAGAUUCCCCGUACCAUGAGCAAUUAAAAGGUACUAUAACACUUUUAUAUUUUAUAAUACGUGCAUAUAUUGUUCAUAAUAACGACAUUAAACUUAAACAUAAGCUAUACUUAAAGUAGGGUAAGCAUAACUCACUUACUAGGAGGUUUCGCUAGGAACCGCGCUCUACGGGGGUAGAACUUUAGAGCCGAAACUCUUCUUCUCAGAGCCUUCUAGUGCUCCGGGACGCGCAUCUAACACUUAGGAAGUGCUAGGCAGGGGGAGGGAUAGGUUUCUAGUAUUGAGAGAGAAAGAAUGGGAAAGGUAUGAAGAAAAUGAAUUAUUUGCACCUCUAUUUAUAGGUUGUUUGGGACGAUUCGCGUCCUGAAUUUAAAAUUCAUGUCGUGACCUUGCGUAAGCACCAAGGCUGCGCCUGGUGCUGACACGUGGCAAAAAUAAAAUAAUAGAUAAACCAAAUAUCUAUGAGUAACAUAAAAAGUGAUUUUUUGAUAAAUUUCUUUUUAGCCUUAUCCGUCUAAACAAAAGUCGUGGUAUACGUUAAACCGAGAAGGUGCAUAAAAAGAACGUACAAAUCUGACUUCGUAUGAGGAAGUUAUGAUUUUUCUAAGAUUUAGCAUAGCAAUGCACAGCCUGAAAUUCGAAUUUUAGAUCGAUCGAUUUGUAGCUAACACAACCUAAAUGAGAAUUUAAGAUCUCAUUAAUAGGAUCUCAUCGAUAAAAAGACAGUCUAAAACAAAGUCCGUAUGUAGAAGUUCUGAAUUUUACACGGUCGUUAAAUAGUGUAAUCUUCUUAUACUUUAAAUUUAAAAUCGGUCAAGAAUUAGCCAACAGAGUCAAAAUGACAGUUGUAGAUCUUGUCAAUACCUACGUGUGGAUAUAAAGAACGUCAAAAACGGAGCUUGUAUGCGAAAGUUACGGAAUUUAGAAGUCGGGUUGGGCUGAUGCGAAGUGGGUGACGGGACGUGAUUUGAGUCAUUGCUUCCUCCCCACGCCUUGCCACAUGGUGGUGACACCUGGCACCCCAAUCGUCGAGUUGGAGGCUCAGAACUCUCUGAGUUCAGCCAUUUUUCAGCCUAUAAAUACCAUGCGAGGCUCACUCAUUUUCCUCACACCUUAACCCUUUGCUCUGUCUCUAACUUCUCUUUAAAACUCCCCCAACCUCUAGUAACUUCUAAGUGCUAGAGGAAAGCCCCGGAGCGCCAAAAGGCUUCAAGAAAAAGAGCUUUUCGGCUCAGAAGUUAUGCCCCCGCAGAGUCUGGUUCUUAUCCAAACCUCCCAGUAAGUGAGUUAUGUUUACCCUACUUUAACUAUAGCUUAGGUUUAAAUUUAUUAUCGUUAUUAUAAACUUAUAAACAAUAUAUAUUAUAAAAUAUAAUAUCUAAAGUGUUAUUAUAAUAUCUUUUAACUACUCACGGUACGGGGAAUCUGGUUUGAAGGGUCGCAUAAGGUUGUUGGAUUUCAGAAAUGCUAUAAUGCCAAAAUGGUCCUGCCCUCCGGUGUUUCAUGUCUGGCCCCUAUCUGUACAUAAUGGUUGAAAAGUAUUGUUUAACAUUUAUAAAACAAUAUCGAUCUUAAAUAGUCGUAAUAAAUAUUAGACAAAAAUCUAGUGGUAAUAAUUCUAGGUUUCAUCGAAGGGAAAUAGAAUUGUUAGAAGCGAAGCGUUGUCCAAGUUGGAAUCACCACUUUAACAAGUGAGUGCAUAGUUACUUUCAUCUUACACAUAGAUAUGAAAUAGUUAAAAUAAAUUGUGUGUUAUGUGUGUAUAUUAUAUGUGUUCUUGAUAUAUAUGUUGGAUGAACUAUUUAUACAUGUUUUAAAUGAUUUAAAUUGUAUAUGUAUUUUAUAUCUACGAAAAUGUUGGGUAAAACAUGGGUAGAUGAAAUAGUUGAUGUGUGAUGAAAUAAAAUGAUGAGAGGCCUUGAUGUUUACGAUGAUCCAGUCAUCUAACGGAGUAUAGAUGACGACCACAGACUAUUCUAGAUAGUCUAGUGGAACGUCGGCAGGCUCACAGCCUGUAGGUGUUUAUUUGAACUACGUGUUCACCAGGUGUACUCCAUCCCCCUCAUGGUUGCCUUAUUUGACAUAAAUUGUUGAGGAAUCCCCUGAGCAAUGUUGUCCAUCCCAAUGAAAAUCCCUCGGCUAGGUCCCUUACUUUAGAUGCUUUAGGGACAGCAAGUGAGGAUAACGGGAAUGGGUAAUCGAGUAGUUUGAUUAGAUGAAACUAAUAAACUUAAUUAUUGUGGGUUGAAAACCCUAUGUGUUCACCAGGCUCCCAAGCCUGACCCACUCAGUUUCUUGUAUACAGGUAGUGGCAAGAGAGCACAUGAGUGAUGGUCUGAUGAGAGAUCAAUGGAUUAUAGGCCACUAGAAUAAAUAGAUGUUGUAAGGCCUAUGUUAUUUAUGUUUAUGCUUUUGAUCUGUAUUACGCGUCAUAAAGGAGCGUCGUAAAUGCACGUCGUCUCUUGUUAUGACAUGGCCUUCCUUGACGCGCAUUUGCGCGUCGUCUGAGCGUUUUACGACACACAUUGCGCGUCGUAAAAGGCUAUUUUUCUAGUGGUGACAAUGACAUCCCAAGGUUUUUAAUAUAAUGAAAAUACAUUUGUUCGGAAAUGCUUUGAUAAAUUCUUUAUCAUAUUUUUGGAACAAAUUCUGCAACAUAUUUCUUUAAAAGUAUACUCUGAUUUUCAAAUAAAGCAUAAACAAAACGAUAUUUUCUGGCCGUGAAAUUGGGGAUGUCACAAAAGCCAAUUGUUCAUCCGAACCCCGCCUUAAGGUCACAUUCUUUUUGGUCAGGCGGGUCAAAGGCACUGCAAUCUUGGAGAAGUCCUGAAUAAAUCUUCGAUAAUAUCCCCCAAGACCCAAGAAACUCUGAAUCUCGUAUGCAUUUUUCGGAACUUCCCAACGAAUCACAUCCUCAAUUUGGGCAGGGUCCACCAAGAUACCACCAUGGUUGAUGAUGUGCCCCAAAAACUGCACCUCAUGCAACCAAAACUCACAUUUAGAGAAUUUGGCAUAAAGCCUCGUCCUCCUCAAGGUCUCCAACACCUCUCUCAAAUGUUGCUCAUGCUGCUCUUUGGUCUUAGGGUAGACCAUAAUAUCAUCAAUUAAAACAAUCACAGACUGAUCCAACAUCGUCCUACAAACUCGGUUCAUGAGAUCCAUGAAUGUUGCAGGUGUAUUAGUGAGCCCGAAAGGCAUCUCCACGAACUCAUAAUGACCAUAACGAUUUCUGAAGGUUGUCUUCUGUAUAUCCUCAUCCCUAAUCCUCAUCUGAUGGUACCCUGACCGGAGAUCAAUCUUGGAGAACCAAGAUGCACCCUAAAGAUGGUCAAAUAAGUCGUUGAUCCUUGGGAGUGGGUAACGGUUCUUCAGCAUCAGCUUGUCUAAUUCCCGAUAAUCAAUACACAUCAUGUGUGACCCAACCUUCUUUUUCACGAACAAGAUUGGUGCUCCCCACAGGGAACUGCUUGGGCAAAUAAAAUCAUUGUCUAGCAGCUCAUAUAGUUGCGUAGACAACUCCAGCAUCUCAGGCGGUGCCAGGCGAUAUGGUGCCUUGGCUAUUGGAAUCAACCCAAGCAUCAAAUAAAUCUAAAACUCAACUUGUCUCUCGGUAGGCACUCCCGACAACUCCUCGGGAAAGACGUCGGGAAAAUCCCGCACGAUGGGUACACUGCUCAACUCUGACAUGGCCUCAACCCACAAAUCUAAGACAUAUGCCAGAAACCCAGAACAACCCUGCAAAAGAAGCCUCCUAGCCCUUGCGACUGAACAGAGAGUUGUCCCAUGUGAAGCUUCUCUUGCCCGUGAUGACUAGUUCUCCCCACUAGGGGUUCAAACUCUCACCAACUGCCACUCACAAUCAAUCACAGCCCCAUUGGGCCCCAACCAGUCCAUCUCGAUGAUCACCUUCAAUCCCUCAAGGGCAUUGAUACCAAGUCGAUAGGAAACCUCUCGCUGAACAUGUUCAGAAUAAUUCUAUGGAAUACCCUCUCAUCACUCACAGUACGAUCAUCCACAAUCUCCACCCCCGAAACAAAAAGAACAUGAGCCGACAAUCCAUUGACCAAAAAGGUCCCUAUACAAGAUCAUAAUAACAUAAGCAUAACAAGAAAACAAUAAAAGAUAGAGAUAAGUCACAUACCACUAACGAAAUCUGGCGUUGCUCGAGCCUCAUCAGUGGUCGGCUGAAACAUUCUGCUCUUCACCGCAGGAGCCUCCGCCUUGCCCUAACGGCCACUGUAAUCCUCAAAGUGUCAGGCACAGGCGCCGUUACUGAUCCAUGAAACAACCUCAGACAAUUGGCCUUUUUAUGGCCAGUCUAGUUGCAGUGAAAAAAAAUCAAGGCCUUCUUGGGUCUGUCCUUACUCAUGCGGCUUGUCGUACUUGGUGCAUCGGCCCCGGCUCAGAUGGCCUCUACUGUGAACAUCGAAGGUCUUAGGCUUCUUAGCCCGACCCACUGUCGUCUGAACCUGCUCUAGCUUCUGCUUUGUCCGGAGCUCCAACUCGAUUUCCCGCUCACUGGCCUUCUCAAUCAUGUCAUUCAGGGUAUUGCACCCUGAAAAGCUCACAAACUCCCAAAUAUCAUCCCUCAACAUACCAUGAUAUCUCGUCUUCCUCAUCUCCUCAUUCGUAGCGUACUGCGGAACCAGUAAUGCCCUCUCCCUGAACUUGGCGGUAAUCUAUGCCACAGUCUCUGUAGUCUGGUGAAGGUAUUGGAACUCCCUCACCAGGUGUUGCACCUCAAUGAUCGGUGCAAACUCCCUAUCAAACCUCCACACAAAAUCCUCCCAUGUAAUCACUAUCACACCCGCCGACCCAACAUCACGGGUAACCUCCUCCCACCAGUCCCACGACCAAUCCCUCAACAUACAGGGCACGAAUCCCAUAUUUACCGCCUCGAGGCAAAAGCUCUUGCGUUGAGCAUUCUCCAUGUCAGCGAUCCAGUGGCGAUUAGAGAUAGGGUCCUUAACCCUAAAGAACUCAGGUGCUCCGCAUGCCUUGAACUCCCGGAAUGAGAGAGUUCGAGUCCCAAUCUGAAUCGCAACGAUCUCGGCUCAAAAAGACCUGAUCCAUUCCUCCAUGAUCUCCAUGAUUCCCUCAUUGACGGUACCGAAAAUCAAUGGUUUAGCGUCAAGGAUGCCACGAGUGACCUCGGUUGCGAUAAGCUCGUGCAGCCUCUCAUUAAUCAACUCUACACCAGAACCUGAAAUCGAUCCUGAGUCCGAUCCUGAACCUGAACCACCUCGUGUAGCCAUCACCAAGCUUAACUAAAAAAUACAACAUACAAAGCAAUCUAUAAGGAAGUUCGAAAAGAUUCCUCCCCGCCGGACUCCUUAGAGUUUCCAGGUUUGUCUUUGUCUCAGGUAUAGGUCUUGUGCUUUAAGUGGUACACGCCCAAUACUAUCUUCCACACCUACCUGCACCUUCCUCAAGGUCAUGCCUGAUACCUCUAAUUCACCCAACAAUAUUCAGAACAUGACCCAUAUAACACAGUACAUACGUAUAUCCUAUACUCUUGUAGGAUUUCUCAAUCCUCACAGAACCAGAACCUCAAUUAACACUACAGGUUGCCUUAUGCAUGAAAGUUAUACAUAAAUAGAAUCACAUAGACUGUCAAAUAAAGUUUCUACCUUAAUUCCACAACCAAACAAGGAACUAGAAAUGAGGCAGAAUCCAUCAUUCUAGGGCUAUGCAAUCCUAAACAUAUACAAAUUUGAAAGCAUACAAUUAGCCAAUAAUAGAGUCACAUCGAUUCCAAGAAAUAUAUAGCAUCGAAUUCUACUAGGUUAAAAGGCAUCACACACAAAUCAGGCAAGUUUAUCACCUAAUUCCUGAAGGUGUCCUUAGCUAUAUUCUAGCACGCAUAUUAACAUACUAGUUGCAAUUCAUAAGCAUGGUUUAAUUUUGGGAAACACUUACUUGAGCUCGGUCGAUCGCACGCAUUGCACUCUUCCUUGUUACUUAAGAAUACUUUUUUUAGAAAAUCCUUACUCUUUUUCUUUUGAAAAUUUUAUCAUUUCCUCAGUUUGAGUUCUGACACACCCGGGGCUGUGCUCGAAUCCCUCAAACCAAUGCUUUGAUACCAACUUGUAACAGCCCAAAAACCCAAUAAAAUUUUUCAUUUUUAAUUAUAUGUUAUAAUAAUAUGUUUGAUACCAAAAAUCCAAUACAUAAUCAUCAUCAUAUAAAAUCAUCAGAGUUCCAAUAACAGUGAAUGCGGAAAAUAGUGAAGAGUGAAUAUUGCACCAUCAAAUCGGGCCCUUCCCAUUAGAACCGGAAGUACCUGAAACCACAACACGAGCUAUAAGCUAAAGCUUAGUGAGUUUUCCCAAAAUAACACAUACCAAUCAUACACAUGGGCCCAGCCUUAGGGUUCAUUCCAACCUGAAACAAGUAUGGGCCCCCGCCUUGGGGCCUCGCCCUGGGGUAUAAUUCAACCCAAACAUAUCACAAUGGGCCCCGUCCUGGGGUAUAUAUCAACUCGCCAUGCCAUAUUGGGCCUCACGCUGGGGUAUAUUUCAACCCGAUCACAACAUGUAACACACAACAACUAGCAUACUACAUAACUAGAUAAUGGGUCAACCUUGGUACCUUCGACCCGUAAUAUCGGAAAAAGACUCACCUCGGUCUGCUGAUAAGUACAAAUUGCUCGACUAUCGAUCCAUAAAUCUCACACUAUAUAAAUAUAUAAAUUACUAUAAUUAGAAUUAUGAUACAAACCCAAUCUGAGCCCAAAAUCCCAAAGUCCAACUCUUCAAAUAAAGCCCAAAAUCAUUUUCCCCUUUAAUGGGCCUAACCACAUUCGGCCCACUAAAAUAACGGGCCUAAGGCCCAAAAGGCACAACCGAAGACACACAAGGCCCACAACAAAGUGGGUCCCACCUAUCCUAACUAGUCCAAGGCCUAAAUCAAUAUUUUGGAAGUCCACAAAGCAACCCCAAACUCCUAGGGUCCAAAAAUGAAGCCCACUACCGAAGGCCCAAACAGCGCAGUCCACUGUUGAGUACGAUGGGCGUACACAACUUGUACGCUAAGCGUACACGCUUCAGGGGUUGUACGAUGUGUGUACAAGCACAUCGUACAAGCCCAUACGCCCAUCAUACUCCUCAGGUUUUCCAAAUUUGCAUUUUAGCUCUUAAAUGGAUAAGACAUUAGUCCCAAGACACAAAUCUGAUCUCCUUGAAGUGGUUCAUCAUGUAAAGUUGCAAACUUUACACGCAUGCAAGGCUCAAUAAGGUCCUAAACCUCAAAAGAGCUUAAUAAAUGACUUAAUGCUUGCAUGGAGGUCACAAACACCAUAAAGUUUGUAUCUUUAAGCUUAAGGAGUCCCCUAAACGUCCAAAUCUACAAGAUUGGCAUCUCAAAUGGUCUUAACUCAUCAAGACCAACCAAAGGGACCAAAACAAACCAAAAUAAGCUUAAGAUGAGAUCUAAGCAAUAGAUGAGCAAGGUAUGAACUUUAUACCUCCAAAAGCUCCUUAAAUUGAUAAGGAUGUUGGAUUUAGAAGUUCAACCACGUCCAAGACUUGCACCACAAGAUCUUCUUCUUGCAAACACACCAAAAAUGGAUCCUUUUUGUUAUUUCAAUCUCAAAAUCACCUAUAAUGGCUAUUUAUGGUUUUUAAGGACAUUUAAAGGUAAGGGGGCUGAUAAAGGUGAGGGUACAAAUGCCAUAAAUGGGUUUAAAUAGGGGACAAGUCCGAAUAUUAGGGUUUUAGACACAAGUCACGUACGCCCCGCAUACCUCCUCGUAUACCACACGUACGAGGCUCGGCUGCCCGAUCAUGUGCGCCUCAGUACAUUAAGUGUACAUGCACAUACGCCCAGCAUACGAGGGGUCCUCCUUGCCAACUAAAAUUUCAUCAAAAACUUAAAAGGGAAAUACCUUAUUUCGGAUGUUACAAAGGAUUUGCACAGUGUUGCAUGGUAGGAUGCCUGAUUAGGAGAGAUGCCUUUAUGUUUUUUGUGUGAGUUGGUAGUGAUGCAUGCUAGUAACUAGAGAUCUUCAGGAGCUUUUGACGUAGAACUGCUUAUUUAUGUGAUGUUUUUUUGUUCUAGAUGCUCGGAUGUUGCUUGAUUUGUGCUUUAUAGGACUCAUAUUAAUGUAAGUUAUCUAUCGCAUGAAUAUGUUUAGUUACAUGCAGUGAAGGUUAAAUAAUCUUAGAGUGAUUGACUUUGCCUUAUUGUGCAGCUCUCAUUUGAGUCUAACCGUUGUAUGGUUGGGUCUUUUAGUCGAAGGAUUAUGUAAGUUUUGUUACAUGUAACUGUAUUCGUGAAGUAGUUAACUGACAUUGGUAGAGGUCCUUCAGAAGUUGAUGGCAGGUUGAAGUGGUAAUCCUAAAAGAGCCUAUGAAGAGCUUUAGUACGAGUGAUGCGCCAUUCAGCAGAUUUUGGAGGGUAUCAUUGGAAACGAAUUAGAGGAUUCGGGAUGAUUCUGAGGAAAGUACGGAUAAGUGUGGAAGGUAGUAUUAGGCCCGUACUACUAGAAGCACAUGAUCCGUACUCGAAUCAAGGAAAGUCCCGAAAAUUCUGAGGAUUUGGUUGAGGGUAGGAACGUGGUUUGGCACCAUGAAUCUGUUGUAGCAUUUUUGGUAUUAUCAGUUUUUCGGUUAUGGCGGUCCAACAAGAAGGUGGGUUGGGUGAUUAUUUGGGCCUUAGUGGCCAUGUCAGUUGGGGUUGAAUGGUGCAAACCUAGAUGAGUAGUUAAUCUCAAUGUUUUGGGGGCCUUACUGGAGGAAGUGAUAGUCGGAGUCGCGGGACUCAAUAACGAAACAAAUGGGAUGAGCGGCUUGAGGAUUGCAGCCUUGAGGUUAAGUAACCACCUUAUGGCUUAUGAUGUCAUUUUCUAUGACGGGGAUUCUGUUCUUCCAGUUUCUAUGUUGGGGAAAAAGAGACUGAGUAUAAGAUUGUAGAGAUCGGAGGACGACCCAGUAAGGGAAACUAAAUGGUUACGGUAUCUGUGAUAAAGGUGGAAAUGCACGAGAGGAUUAUUGUGUUUUGAUCGCCUCGAGAAGAUUUCAUGUGUGGAAAGAGAGUCAUUUUUGUGGAGACUAUACAAGAUGAGAACUAGGGGUAUGAUUUCCUUGAGUUCAGUUAGAGCAUGUCCUAGCAUGUUGUUCCACGUGAUCAGGAGAAGUGAAACGGGAACGACAAUCUUCGUUUUCUAUGUUAUAUCUCGACAAUGAGGAUGAUGCCUCAUGUUUUUAUGAUUGUGUAUCGCAAUGGAACGGUGGUCAGAGAUUAAUAGGUGAAGUGUGUGGUAUUCUAACUGUUCUUCUAUGGAGAAUCAGUGCUAUGGAUAGGCUAUCAAAGUUAUUGCUUGUGCAUUCGCAUGAGAUUCUUGAUGAUAGAGGUGGUUAUGAUUGAGAAGUUUCUGAGGUAUCCGUCUGAGAUUUAGAAUGUUUUUGAGUUGUUGGGUCUUUAUCUGGGAGAUCAUCUUGUGUUUUGUUAUACAUUCCAAGAUUCGGGGAUGGUAUGUAUCUGGCAAAGUCAGUUUGAAGUGUGGGUUGUCUGCAACGUCAGUUGGUGAUAGUUUGAACCCAAGUGGGUGAGAACUGGGCAUGCUACUUGACAGAUCAUCGAUUUGUUUAGUUCACAGGUUCAAAAUAAUGGGUUAUAGGGAUCUAUGAUUCGGAUAUGCGAGGCUUUGGUUCAAGAUGUGGUCAAGACGAGGUGAAAAGCAAGUUAAUUUUUGGUGUAUGUGCUCAGGAAUGCACGAGUUGUCUUCGCAACAGGAAGUUGUUAGUCAGGGAGCUUGUUGUAGCCAGUGGUCCCUUUCGGGGAUGUCGAUGAACUGGUCACGAGGUGGUUAAGUUUCUCAGGUCGAGUGUCGGUUGUUAAAUAAUUCGUCAACUCAGGGUAUAGAUUGUUGUUAUUGUCGGUCUAUCAAUCAAAUUCAGAAUUUGGUAUGUGCAGCUCUGCAUGGGUUAGUUCAUUAGAAGAUUGGACUGUUGGGUAGUUACCAGUGUAUCCUCGAUCGUUGAAUGUGCCCGUUUAUCGUCAAUGGGUGGGGAUGCUUCGAAGGUUUUGAGUUGUAUAAUUGGAGGUCAGUGAUCGUGACAACCUAUCAUCAUGUUCUAUUUAUGGUAUAUCAUGGCUUAUGGGUACGUUACCCUAAAUUGUUGGAUUGAGAAAUUAUGGUAUAUAGGUUUGUUUCUGAAGUUAGAAGAACAUUGAAAGGAUUAUAUAUGUGUUCCAAUUGUGGCUCUUUUGGGUUCCUUGUCAUAAGUUAGGAUUGUGGAAGGAUGUGGAAUUGUAUCAAGGGAAGGUACUUCGGAUACGACAAUCUUUUUCGAGAGUACUAAAGUGCUUCAUCUGGUUUGGGGUGUGAGUACCUGAUAUCGUUUGAUCAUGGGAUCUUAGUCCAGUAAGCUAAAUGUGGUGAUGAUUGGGUAGGAAUAUUGUGGGAUGGCUAGGUAAUCCAGUGAUUAUGAAGUUAUUACAAAGUAGAUGAAUCCAAACGAGGGAUGGUCACUUAGGGUUGUCGAGGAUAGUUCCAAGUGUGAGCCACUUUAGAAUUUAUGCCCAUGUUAGAGUUUUGGAUUGGUAUAUCUGGAAGGAGUGCCAGGGUUCCUUGAGGAUGGUAAGAAUCCAAGAUAGGUCAGGAUUGUGAGUGUGGAGCAAACUACCGUGGGGCCGGCGGGGCCUUGAACGGAUAAUUGGGUGGUGUGGAUAAGAUAUUGUUUGAUUAAGGAUUAACUGGGAAGGCCAAUCAACAUGGUAUCAUCCUAAGUCAACUAGAGAACCAGUUUUGGUUGUGAGAGGUUUCAGGGUUAAGCAAGGAAUAGUGUUCUUUGGUCAGUGAUGUAAGAUUGUGGAGCAGCCGUAGCAUUCACCAUGUUAGUGUGCGGUUGUAGGAGUGAUGUAAGACUACGAAGCAGUCGUAGCAUCCACCAGGUUAGUGUAUGGUUGUGGAAGGGAUGUAAGACUUUGGAGCAACCGUAGCAUUCAUUAGGUUAGUGUGUGGUUGUAGGAGUGAUGUAAGACUGCGGAGCAGCCGUAGCAUUUACCAGGUUAGUGUAUGGUUGUGGAAGUGAUGUAAGAUUGCAAAGCAGUCGUAGCAUUUACCAGGUUAGUGUAUGGUUGUGGAAGUGAUGUAAGACUGCGGAGCAGUCGUAGCAUUCACUAGGAUAGGAUGCAGUUGUGGAAGUGUUAUAAGACUGCGGAGCAGUCGUUGCAUUCACUAGGUUGGUAAGUGGUGGUAAAAGUGAUGGAAGUCUAUGACUUGGUUCGUGGCAUUCUCUAGGAUGAUUUAGAUCAUCACAUGGUUGGGUGAAGGUUUGUGGGUAGGCAUCAACAUCUAUAAUACUUGGGAAAUCGUAGGCUGGGUUGGGGCCAGAUGUGAUGUGAGAACUCGGUUUGGUUUGUAGCCGUCACUGGGGAUUAAAUGGACUUGGUGAUAUCAUCAUUCGAGCAUUGGUUAGUUGAUUUGCCCUUCAUUGGGAGUGUAUGAUUGAUGGAUUCGUGUUGGCAGGUAGACCAAGACCACCUGUACCUAUUCGGUUUUUUAGUCUGGAGCUGUUGUUUUCGAUGAGGAUUUAUCGAUACCGGUAAGUGGUUAGAGCGUAUAUGUUUCUGGUAUCCGUAAAUUUGUUCAGGACGAAUACGUUUGUGUGGUUCAGGUUAUGAAGUUGAGUCAUUGUGGGAAUGGUUCGGAAUGGUUCUAUCUUCCUGGGAGUCAAAUAUUGAUCGAUGUUUUUAGUUUUAGGCGUAGCGGUUGGACAUUCAUGGUCUUAGAGCAAAGUUGAGGUUCAUUCUUCAUUAGGGUUUGUGAUUUCCUCUAUUUUGGGUUCGAUGGUAGUAAGGGUGGGUGGUUAUCAGAUUGAGGUGGUUUUCCGAGUCAUCUUCUUGAUUCAGGGAGUUCAGUCAGGAUCGUUUGGUUCGGCAGACGAGAUAGUAAGGAAUGAUUUCAAGUACGGAAUCUAAUUUAAGUGGGGGAGAGUUAUAACACCCUUUUUCGAGUCGUUUCAUAAUUCGGGGUCGAGACCCAAAGAUCAAGUAUCAUAAGGCUUCGGUCUUUGGGAAAGAGAGUUUUAGACCCAUUCUGAUGUGGGCAAUGUAGAUUAUGUGAUCCAAGAGUUCAUUUUGUGAUUUAGAGUCAAAGGGUAAAAUAGGAAAAGUAGUGUUUCAGACUUCUUUUAUAAAUUAUGAAUUUUAGUUUGAUGUGUUUUAAGUAAAUAGUAAUUAGAUAAGGUUGUAGAUCUCCUCAAUACCUUUCCGUGGAUAUAAAGAUCGUCGAAAUCGAAGUUGAAACGAAGAAGUUAUGAUUGUUUGAAGUUUGGCCAGGUUUGAGUUAAGCCACAUAUGCUAAGUGUACGGGGAGUACGUUGGGUGUACCAGGGCAUCUUGAGUACGUUGGGCGUACUAGAAGUACGUCGGGCGUACGUGAUGAGUGCCCAAACCCUAUUUUUGUGGUUUGAGCCCUAUUUAAGCUCCUUAACUUCCCCAAACCCAUUCCAUUUUCAACCUCCACCUCUCCAACACCCUCCCAUGAAAACCCUAACCCUAGUUUGAGCCUUUUGAGCAAAAAAAUGUGUUUUAAGUGCUUUGAAGUGUUCUUGGUGCAUCUUGGAGAAGAAUGGGUUCAUUGGAGAAGUGUUGUUUGCAUUGGAGGUUGUAGAUCCCGGCUUUGUUCACCUUGAUCUUUCUUCUAGAGGUAUAAAGUUUGAAUCUUGAUGAUGUAUUUGUUUGAUCUAGAUAGUUUUGGAUAUUAUGAGCUUUUUGUCAUUUUAGUGCAUAAAGUUUAGAUCUUGAAAGUUUGUUACCUUGAUAUGGAUAAAGUCGAAAACUUUAUCCAUCUAAGCAUCAUUGUGAUUCAGAUCUGAAGGUUGGAGACUUAGACUUAAUGGAUUAAGUUGAAAAGGAUACACGUUUGGUCCCUUUAAUACUUUAAUGCUAGAUCUUGGUGGUUUAUACCAUUUUAUAAUGGAUAAAGUUGGAAACUUUAUCCAUUAUGGAGCUUUUAGGAUCCAUAAUCUUGAUCCUUCGAUGCCUUCCAUGGAAGUGUCAUGAUGUCUUAAUGGACUAAUAAGUUAAGGUUUUGGCUUUUGGACCUUUUCUAGACAUGGAAAGUCAUAAAGGUGGAAACUUUAUGACUUAGAAUGAUGUUGUGGGACUAGAUCUGAGUGUUGGAUGAAAGGACUUAAGAGUUUAAGCACUUAAUGGAAAACUGCCAUCUGGCCAAGUACGUUGCGCGUACUCAUAUGGAGUCCCGUUUCUGGAUGGUGAGUACGCCAUGUGUACGAGCUGAGUACGUUAGACUACUCAACCUGGAGUUUGACUUGUUGAUUUUGACUUGAUAUAGUUCUUCUAUUCAAAAGUUCAAUAUUCAAAUUGUUAUUUUUGGAAAGCCUCAGAAGAGUCGUGAUAAAGAACAGCCUCGGAAUAAGGAGCCCGAAGGGAAAUAAAAGCUUUAGUCUCCCUAACGGUCGACCUUAGUCUCGCUCCUCAGCUCGACGGUUGUGGGGAAUGAACACAAACCGCUUCAAGGCAACGGGCUAUCUCCCAACUUUCACUUUAGGAAUGCCUUUAAGGCUAGCUCUCUCCUUUGGUACUCAAUUGGGUAUAUUCCGUAGUGAGAUAAGGAAUUCAAUCGUAUAUGGUAUUGUACAAAUACAGUAUGGCAGGAUUGACUAGCGGGAUGGUUUCAAAAGAUUGAACGGAUAUACAUUAUCAAAGGCGGAUAACACUUGAUCUGAUAUAUACUUAUACUCCACAUAACUCAUUUUCAUAAAGGGGGCUAUAUCAAAUGAAACAUCCUUGAAAGAAUCAUACGGAAGCUCUCUCGGUACUAAGAUUCCUGGAGGUGCUACUUCUGGUACUCCUUGACCGUUGACUUUUUGACCAAGUUUGACAUUAGGUCAAACUUGAGGGUUUUGGUCUAUUAAAUAAGAUUUUAUCUAGUUCUGGUAUUAGUGGAUUUGCAGGUGCAAGCAGUGCAGAAAAGGGAUCGUGUCGUAGUGUUUCAGAGUUCUUUGAUUCAGGUGAGUCUCCUCCCUGUUAUUGUGAGUUAAAGGCACCAAUUCCUGCUCACUAAAUUAUGUAUGUAGGAUGCUAACUUUCUUUGUGACUCUUGCAUGUUUAUAUGACCCUGUGUGGUAAUAUAUAUAUAUAUAUAUAUAUAUAUAUAUAUAUAUNNNNNNNNNNNNNNNNNNNNNNNNNNNNNNNNNNNNNNNNNNNNNNNNNNNNNNNNNUAUAUAUAUAUAUAUAUAUAUAUAUUUGUAUGUGUGUGUGCUGACUAGUUAGGUCUUACUUGUCGUUACUGUGAUAUGUGAUACUAUGUACUGAGACUGCUGAUAGUCUCCGGGGUCGCUGAUAACACACCGGGUGUGUUGUUUUCCCACUGAGGGUUGCUGAAUGCUGAUAACCCACCGGGCUUUGUGUUUGCCCACCAAGACUGUUAAUAGUUCCCAGGGUUGCUAAUAACCAAUAUUAUUUAUUUGUGUUGUGUGUGGUAUUUUGGGAAACUCACAAAGUUUUGUGCAUACGAUUUGUGGUUUACAUGUUUCAGGUUUUCUUAUAUUAAAGGAGGGGCACGACACGAUUCCAUCGCAUCAAUGGGGGGACUUGUACAUAUGAUAACUUUUAAUGAUACUUUGAUAAAUGUUUUUAAGAUUUGUAGUUGUGAUUUGAAUAAACACUUAAAGUUUUAAUUGAAAAUAUUGGGUUGAAAUUUGGGGCGUUACAAAUUCCGUUUUAAAAAUUCAUAUUUUCUUCGUAUGAACUUUGUUUCUUACCCUUUUUAUAUAUUUGUGUAGCUUUUUCCUAAAACUACAACUCUCCUUUACAUUGCGUUGUCAAAUUUUAACUUUCAUUUAACUCACAUUUUUAUAUUUUAUAAAAAUCAUAUGUCCUUAAUACGAUUUCCAUUUUUGCCCUUCUUCCUUUCAAAUUUCUUAUCUCAUGCUAUACUACAAAUUUUCUUAUUUGUAGUGUUAGCCGAAACUCAAUCAAUAUUUUUUUGCUAUUUUGACGUUAAUAGCGUUAUUAACGUGGUUGUUUUCAAUUCAUCAUAAAAUCAUAACUCUUUCAGUUAGAUUUUGUCAACGUUUACAUUUUUAGGAUCACUAGAUCGUGCAUUUUCCAAAUAUAAACCAUUUUAACUUUUUGAUUACUUUAUUUCGACUCAACUUUCCAUAUUAUUCUUCGAUAUGAAAUUUUUUUAUCAUUAUGAGUCGAUCGUAACCCCUAGUAACAAUUAAUGACGAAAAACACACAAUUGUUACUUUAACUGUGGUAUGUAGUGACCAGGAACUAUCAAAAAUCCGAAAUUUACAAAAACAAUCAGAUAUCUAGGUGUAAUAAUGAAGUUUUGUAUUGAUGCAUAAAAGUGUUGAAAACAACAAAUCGUUAUAAGUGGUUAGCUUUUUUUAUUGGUUUUACUGGUUUUUAUGGUAGAAAUUAAAACAAGUUAUGUUUUUUCAAAAUAAGAUAAAAAAAAAUGCAUGAGUUAGUAUUUCAAACAUUGUAUAAGUUGUGUUCUAGCCUUCUAGGUCUUGGUGCAUCUAUUAAUGAUAAUCGAUUACUCGGUUAUCAAUCUUUUUAGGUAUCCGCAAACGAAUUUUAUUGUUUGUUAUGGUUUGGGUUAUUGUCAGUGUAGCCCAACAAUGUUUAGUAUAUUGGUUUAAAAGGUCCAUUGUAACUUUAUUUUGCCUUUUAGGGGUACGAACUUGUUUUUUACCGUUUUAAAAUAUAUCUUUACCCAUUUUAGGAGGUAACCAUACCUUGUCAUCUGCCAACUAAGCUGCCUUGUCAUCAUUACAUUACUUUGAAUUUGAAUACUUGUUAGUCAAAGUCUCGAUAAGAAGUCAAAAUUAAACACAUAAGUUCACUCGUUUUUACUUUAUCCAUUGAUUUUCUCCUUUAUCGUUCUCACCACUUCCCGAUUAAAACAUGUCUCGUAGUUUCCAUCAUUUGGAAGCUGUGCUCUUUAUUUUGAUCUCAAUUUCUGUGUUUAUGGUUUCCUCCCACACUAUCAACACCAGCCCAGAAGAUCACGCUUCAAUCGGAGGCGAUUAAGUAAAUGAUCGUCGAUGGAGGGCUCUCCAGUCAGAUUGAAAUGUCUUUCCCUAAUAUAACCUGUGAGAUGAUGGUUCAUGGUUCAGGUCUUGGAGUAUUGUAACAAACACAUGUAUUACGACGGUGCCAGAAAUAAUAUCAAUAUCGUGGAGGAGAUGAGAGCAUUUGAUACAAAGUUCAUGAAUGUUCUUCCAAUCCACAAUUUCCAUAACCCCCCAAACUACCCAUCAUCCAUCUAUCCAUCCAUGUUACUUGUACCCAAACACAAUUUGUUGUUUUCGUUUUCUUUUUAGCCGUCCAAAACACAGAGUGAAAGAGAUGAAAUCGUUGUUUGGAAGUGCUUAGCUCAAAAUGAACAUGGCAUAUAGCAAUGUUUGCUUGUAUGUAUCUGUCUAAAAGCUCUAACUUUUAAGUUCAUCUUUAUCAACUUCAGCUAUCUAAUUGCAGCAAUGUGACUACAAGUGGUGGAAUUUUGGUGGGGGGAGGGAACUGCAGUCAUUGUAAAAGGAGAUUGUCUUUUUUCUUCCAGUUCUUUUUUUCUUCCAGUACUUCUGGAAAUCAAAGUCGAGUAGAUCUGAGCAUAUUUCCUUGGUUAGUCACUGAAUGUCUGCCUCUUAACAAGGAAAAUGACUAUUUUAACCCUCUAAACUAUUUUUGGCAUAUAUAAUAAACACAUCAUCCAACAUCCAAAUAUGUCAUAUAUACAUCCUGAGAUCACAUUAUUCUCUCUAUAACAACAUUUAUGUAAAGUUUGUAUAUGUCAAUGACACUUGCAAUCAAUUUAGCUAUGUCAACUACACCUGCACUCAAUCAAUUUGGCAUUAAACUCAUUAAAGAAGAAAUGGUUUGCAUAUAUUUAAUUCCUUUUUAUACAGAUGAAAAACACUGAAAUUAACAUAAUAAAAGAUAACAAUAAUCAAAUUUAUAACCAAUAACUUUUCACACUAAUAGACAAUCAAGUCUUGUACACUACAAGUAACCAUAUCAACCUCUGGAGAGAAUAGUUGAUCCUUCAGCCGCUUAACAGAAUCAACUAUCCACGUCCAAUUAACAAGAUCAAAAAGUUUUUAUUGAUUCUAUCUCAUAAAUCCAAAUUGGGUUUUUUAGAAAUCAUCCAAUUUGAUCCAAUCUAAAAAUGUGAAGGUCAUCGUUGAACUGUUCUGUUCUCAAUACAGAUUGCCCAAAUCAAUCAGCAACAAGAAGCGUUCUUUAAAACAACGCCUUGCACUUACAUAAAUGGGCUUAAAAUAACGUUUUAGGCUGACUACAGUUCUAAAUUAAGAGCUAAUUGAUAGGAAACCAUAACGGAUUAGAAAAAGUAAACUAUUUGUUCUUGCUAAACAGCUUUAUAAGCUUCAAUGGACAAUAGCGAAACCUGUUAAACAAAAACAUACAACUCAUUGCGCAUGUCGUUCUUCUUUCUUAGCUUACUAAGUGUAUCCCCUUGCAUAUUGACAUCAAAAGGUGAACAAAUAACAUAAUCUUGUGUUUAUAAAAAAAAACUAGAUUAAACAUAAGUAUAUGCUUUGCAGUACUGGAUAACUAUUAUAAUCGCUGUAAAGAUAUUAGCCACAACAUGGAUUGCCGAUACCUAAUAAAAGUUUCAGAAUCGACGUGAAAGACAAAGAUGGCUACAUUUAAAUCUAGCUUAUGAAAAAAGUUAAGUACUGCUGGUGUUUAGAUCUAAACAGCACUUGACCGUCCAUAAGCACAAAAAACUUUUAUCAUAGAUAACAUAAAAUCGAAUUGGCCUCAGUAUUGCAGAAUAGACAUCAAAGACUUCGAUAAAAGCCAUUCAGUCCCGAAAGAUGGUGUUCUUUUAAAAUAGAUCUCGUCAUUGGCCAAGCAAUUCGAUCGAAAUCGUUUAAAAAAAAUGGGAAAAAAAUGUUUUUCUCACGGCCAAUCCCAAGAGGUAAUGGCAGAACCUGCUCCCCAAGGCGAUAGGAUGUGACAACGCCAACUCCGACGAACGGGAUCCUUCCGAUGAAGGAAGGCUCAACCGUUGUGAUGCCGGAAAAGGCUCGAUUCACGACGAUUUAUCAUUGGAUUUUACGAAAAUUAAAUUUUUUCGCCCCAAAGUUUUGUAAUUCGUCGAUGUAGAAAACGAUCAAUCAAGAAAAUUGGUAAUUCGAGAUGGGUGUGACUCGAUAUCUAAAAGAAAAAAGUAAGAAAAAAUUGAGGCGUGGAAGAUGAAACCCUAGAGAGUUGCAGACGCUGAAUAGAAAGAGGCAUGGAGCUUAAAAUAUAGGCCGGGGAGUGCGUUGCAAGCCGUCCGAUUUGGCUGAUCUACUAUAACGAUGAGAGUAAUCGGACCGUUGUUAUUAGGGCUUUUUUUUGGGGGGGGAGAAAGUGGGGGCUUGGAAGUUGGACAACCCGACUCUUCAUGAAUUUUUGAAUGAGAGUUACUUAAUUCUUUCACAUAAAACAUCGUAUAAACUAAUUUUAAUCGUUUUUUUAUAUGCGUUUCUAAAACAAUUAAUAUUCAAAAAAAAAAAAUAAUGCAACAAUAGAAGGGAAAUUGGUAAUUAACUUUUGAGUAAAUUACACGAAUGGUGCAUAUGGUUUAGGAUAAUUUGGAUGAAUGGUUCAUAUGGUUUAAGAUAAUUUGUGUGUUUGUUUUUUAAGUUUUUUUUUUACCCGUAAGAUCUUUAUUGUUUGUUUUUUGUUAUACGUUUGGUCCAUGUCUUAUCUAAAAAUACUAUUUUGCCCUUUAUUUUUUGAUUUAUUUAAAUAAACACACCCCUAACCCCAUCUCAUCACUUUACCUUACUUACUCCAUCAUUUUUCCCUAUUUAAAUAAUAGUAUUUUUAAGUAAGAUAUGGACUAAGUGCGUAACAAAAACAAACAGUAAGGAUCAAAAGCGUAACAAAAACAAAUAGUAAGGGCCUCCCGAGUUAAAAAAAUCAAUUAAGGACCAAGCACGUAAAUUACCCCAAACCAUAGGGACCAUUCGUGUAAUUUACUUUUAACUUUUCGAUUUGUUUAUAACUAUUUUUUCUUUUUUUGUACACAUCUAAGCAACAAAUUUUUUGAAAGCGUUCACAUAUGACCAUUAUGACCGGCUGUAGCAGAUUACAUCCGAUCAUAAUUGUGAUAUGUGAACACUUUCAACAAAUUCGUUACCUAAAUUUGUACAAAAAAAAAGUUAUCCAAAUAUCAGCAAAGAUAAGAAUAAAUUACACGAAUGGUCCCUAUGGUUUAGGCUAAUUUCCGUGUUUGGUCCUUAACUUUUUUUAACUCGGAUGGUCCACGCUAUUUAUUUUUGUUGCGCGUUUGGUUAAUAUCUUACCUAAAAAGACUAUUGUGCUCUUAAUAAUUUAUAUUUUAAUUAAUUUUUUUAUUUUUGUAUUUAUUUUUUAUAUAUUUAAAGAAAUUAAUAGACCCCGCAUAUUUGUAUUUCAUCAUCCUAAACCUAAAACCACAUUUGAGAAAUUUAAUUUGGGUCCUACCAGCCGCCAUCCUAUCUCUCAUCCUCUUCAACUUAUAUUUUCUUUCCAUCUUUAUUGACAUCGACGUCUUCACCAUCCAUUUGUUUUGGUUCUUUAACUUCGACGCACCAACACCACAACCCACUGUCUCUAUAAGGUCACACAUAGAUCAGUUUUAGCAUCUACAUCUAUAGCGUCAGCAUAUCAAGCUUAUCGUCAACUUACAGUUCGGUUGUCUGAUUGUAAUCUUUUUUAUAUUAGGUAAUGAUAUAGAUAAUGUAACAUCCAUAAAAUUCAAGCUAGUUUAAAAAAAAUUCAACCAAUUAUAAAUUGAAAUUAUUACAAAGUGUUUUCAAAAUAGUUUCAUAUCAGAGUUCCCAAAAAUCAUAAUCAUAAAUCGAGGAAGUGUACGGUCACGCCUUCAACUUCUCGCGGUCAUCUGUUGUACCUGAAACAAUAAUCAAUAAAUGUAAGCUCGAAGCCUUAGUGAGUUACCCCUAAAAUACCAAAGCCAUGCCGAUAUAACAAUAUCAUAUAAACAUAUAAGCAAACACAGCACAACAUGCAUCUCAAGUUUACAGUAUGACUGGUCCGCCCGCACCGGGCCUUCAGUCCACCUGGUCCACUCUCUGAGUAUACAGUAUGACUGGAUCGCCCGCACCGGGCCUUCAGUCUAUCUGGCCCACUCUCCGAGCCUCGGCACGUCUGGACCGCCCUCUCGGGGCCUUCAUCCUAUCCGGACCGCUCGUCCGGCCUUCGGCCUAACUAUGUAACCUCCCGGGCCUGCAGUCUAUCUGGUCCGCAUUGGGUAUGUUGGCCUACAGCACGAAGCAGGACCCGCCUCAACCCAAUCCCCCAUACCAACAAAUAAUCAUGUGCACAUAAAUAUCCUACGCUAGCAUGUAUAUAACAAAUAAUCAUAUCGAUCUAACUGAUCACUAACACGACAACCAUCCUAUAACCAGGACACCGACCUAACUGAUCACUAACAUAGCAUCAUCCUAUAUAUCAGGAUACCGACCUAAACCAGGUCACUAAACAUGAUACCAUCCUAACUACCAUGAUACCGACCUAAAUCAGGUCACUAACAUAAUACCAUCCUAACUACCAAGAUGCAAAUCUAGCAGAUCAAUAAACACAUCAUGCAAAUACCUGGAUACAAAUCCGAUAAAGGUUCGGCCUUGGUGUCUUAGACCCUGUUGAUAUCUUGAGGAUAACUCACCUCGCAAUGUCAAUCUGAACUGAAGAAUUGAACUCCCGAAUCGUUGUCUCACCAAAAAUCCCGAACUAUCCAAAUAAUGAAUAUUAAGUUAAUAAAUGAGAAUACUAAUCUUGACUAAGAAUCCACAUAGUCCAUUUCGCCUUUUUAUCUAAUUUGGGCCAAGGCCCAAAAUCAAAUUCACUAUCUAAAAGUCUUUAUACAUAAGCCCAUUAAUGGCCCAAUUUUCCAAAUUGGGCCCCUAUCCCUAAUUGGGCCUUGUUAUAUAAUCUAUUACCAAAACUGGCCCAAAACAUCAUGCUCAAAAAGUCCAGCAAGGCCCAUGUCAAACUGACCCAAGAGUGGCCCACCCCCGAAGCCCAAAAUAUGAAAAGCCCAAUAGAGGGCGUACGCGGGGCGUACUCCUUUGGUACAUUGGGCGUACUCUUCCUGACGUUGACCACCAUCGGGGUGGUUGAGCUAGUAUGAUGGGCGUAUGGGAUUUACUCGGGACGUAUGUAGGGUUUUGCCAAAACCCUAAUAAUUGCUUAAUGGCUUAAGCACUUAAGCCCAAACUUCAGACCCAUUGACCAAAAUUGUUUUGGAACCAUAAAGUCUCGAACUUUAUCACUUUGGACGUCCAGAAAGCUCUUAAUCCAUGGUCUUAAUCCAUUAAGACCUUUCUACUACAAGCAUGGGACAUCUUAAGCCAUUGGGACCCCAUUUAUCAUUUAGGACCUCUUUAAGGGUCUGAAAGGACAACUUAUCUUGUCCAGGUCACAUCAUGCACCAACUUGGGACUUUUAGGACAAGAAAUGGUUUCUUGAAGCUAAAAUGGCAAGAUCUAUAACAUACAUGCAUAAAGUUUGAAGCUUUUUACCUUAUGGAGUUUCCAGGGCACCAAACAACUUCAGAUCUACUAGCUUGUUCUCCUUCUCCAACUCCUUGAUGCAACACCUUAUUCUCCAACUACUCAAAAUGCACUCUAUGAGCUCACACACUCAAGGAAAUGAUUAGGGUUUGGGGAAAACGACUCAAAACAGUGGAGGCCGAGGUAAGGGAUAGUUAUGAGCUCAUAAGGAUGCUUAUAUAUCACUCAAACCCUAAAUAUUAGGGCUUCCUUCUGACGUGAGUACGCCCAACGUACUAGGGCGCGCCUAGUAUGCUCAGCGUACCCUUAUGUACGCACAAUGUACUUCUCCUGGUCCCAGAAUUGCAACUUAGCCUUAGGCUUUUCAUGGAUUUACCCUUCCAUCCCCAGGGACUAUAAAUUGCAAAUCUUGGGAUGUUACAGAUAAGUAUAAAAUAGAUCACAAAUCCGGUAUCUUUGUGAUAAUAUUGGUUCUUAGUAUAGAUUAGACUCAGUCCCUUCAAAGGGAUAUACAUGCAUAGAUUAGUAUAUAUACAACCUUAGGGCAAACCCCUAAUGUUGUGUUCAUGGCUUUGUGUCAAUCACCUUUAUGACAAACCCCUAUUCUUGGUGAAAGAACAAAUUAGAGAACUUAUGUGUUAUUUACUUUCUAUUUAUUAGUUUUCUUAGCUUAGUUUUAUGUUUGUUAUUCAUACUUAAAGUUUGUCUGAUCAAUACAAACCUUCAAUUGGUAUCAGAGCGGGUUUUUUUAUAAACUCAAGUAAUCAUGUCGACUUCAAGCAAUUCCAAAUCUUUUGGUCUCAAUAAAAUUCCUCCCUUUUAUGAGCACAACUUCGUCAUGUGGAAAACCAAUGCCAUGGUGGUUCUUGAAACCAUGGACUAUGAGAUGAAAAAUAUUUUUGAAAAAUGUCCCCAUGUUCCUAUGUACCAACCCAUGGUCAACAACCCUCCCGUUGGCCCCUGAAGUAAAAGCCAUAGACGAUUUAUAAUGACGAUGACAAAAUAUUGCUUAGUAUUGAUGUAAAAUCCAUGGCUUAUGAAUCAUCUCAUACAAAAUUGUGAAUUAGCCCAAGAGAUGAUGGACAUGCUGAUAGUGGCUUAUGAAGGCAUUGUGGAAGUUUAGGUUACAACCAUUAAUACUAACAUCCAUAAAAUUCGAGUCAAUUUAUAACUUUUUAAAUCGUUUAAAACCAUUCAAUGAUUGCAAUUUGUUUUCAAAAUAGUUUAAACAUCAGAGUUCCCAAAAAUCUAUCGAGGAAGUGUACGGUCAUGUCUUCGCCUUCCCGCGGCCAUCUGCUGAACUUGAAACAAUAAACUGAAACUGUAAGCCUGAAAGAUUAGUGAGUUAGCCCCAAAAUACCAAUCCCAGACAGAUAACCAUAUCAUAUAAACAUAUAAGUAAUAGAACAACCAUGCAUCAAGAGUCGACUGGUCCUCCCGCACCGGGCCUUCAGUCCACCUGGUCCACUCUCUGAGUCUACAAUAUGACUAGACCACCCGCAUCGGGCCUUCAGUCUAUCUAGCCCACUCUCCGAGCCUCGGCACGUCUGUACCGCCCUCUCGGGGCCUUCAGCCUAUCCGGACCGCUCGUCGGGCCUUCGGCCUGACUAGGUGCCCUCCUGGGCCUACAGUCUAUCCGGUCCAUCCAGGGUAUGUUGGCCUACAACACGAAGAAGGACCCGCCUCAACCCACCCCCCAUACCAAUCAAACAAUCAUGUGCACAUAAAUAUCCUACGCUAGCAUGUAUAUAACAGAUAAUCAUACAAAUCUAAUAGAUCACUAACACAACAACCAUCCUAUAACCAGAAUACCGACCUAACCGGUCACUAACAUAACAUCAUCCUAUAUUCCAGGAUACCGACCUAAACCAGGCCACUAAUAUAAUACCAUCCUAUCUACCAGGAUGCAGAUCUAGCAGAUCAAUAAACAUAUCAAGCAAAUACCCGGAUACAAAUCCGAUAAAGGGCCGACCUUGGUGCCUUAGACCCUGUUGAUAUAGUGAGGAUAACUCACCUUGCAAUAUCGGACUGAACCACGAAAUCACGCUCCCGAAACACUGACCCAAACUCCAACACCUAUUACUAUCAAUGAUCCAAUUCAUAAAUACCCGCUUACCAAUUAUCCUCAAAAGUCAAACUGGUCAACCCUUGGUCAAAGUCAAAGUUAACGGUCAAGGUCAACAGUCCAUGUUGACCUCAACUCAUCGAGUACCAUUAGCUACUCACCGAGUUCCUUGCAUAACUCGCCAAGUCACUAGAGUGACUCAUUGCGUUCCCAAGGUUUGCGGUCAUAAACUCCUUGGUCGACUCGUCGAGUCUCCCAUGCAACUUGCCUAGUUCAUACAUGUCCAAAGGUUGGGAAAACCGUAGCUGACUCACCAAGUCACUCAUCUGACUCGCCGAGUCCACGACAAUCUUCAUCGGACUCGUCGAGUUAACCAUGCAACUCGCCGAGUCCCUUUAGUCCUUCAUCCGUACAGAAACUUCUUCGUGAAACCAAGGCUCCAAAAUAUAGAUCUACGCUCCUAGAGUGUUGUUAUCACGUAAAGUUGCUAACUUUACAUGCAUGCAAGGCUCUAUGGAACUAAAACACUCAUAACUAGCAUUAGGAGAAGGUUUUGCACAUGAAGGAGGGUCAAAACUUCAUAAAGCUUGAGGCUUUCUAUCCACAAAGCCUAGGGGAGUCAAGAUCUGAAACUUUGCCCUUGUGACAAGUUCAAAACCGAAAAUGACUCUAUCUUGCCCUAGAAAUGACCAUUUUCUUCCACAAAGGGGAGAACUAAGCAAUGAAAAGUAAAUGUGGUAGCUUUAUACCUUAAUCUUGAUGCCACAAUAUUGGAAAGGUUGGAUUUACAAGAUCUUUCUUGUCUCAAGCUCUCAACGCUUCAAGAAAUGCUCCAAAACACUCUCUUUUGGUCUCACGCACUUAAGAAUAUAUACUAGCUGGCUAUUAGGGUUUCUCUGGACGUGAAGGUGACAAGGGAGGUUGGGAAGGAAAGUUAAGGACCUUUAAAUAGGGUGUAAAACCCCAGAAUUAGGGUUUCAUCCUCCAGCUCCUACUCGUCGAGUCCCUUCUUGGACUCGGCGAGUAGGUCGCUUAAACACGUGGACCAACCCGCUGCUACUCGGCGAGUCAGGCAAAUAACUCAUCGAGUAGACCUUGAAAUCAUGAGAAAUAAUAACCUCAAACUGAUACUCGGGAAUCGGGGCGUUACAAUUCUCUCCCAAUUGAACUAUACUUCGUCCUCGAAGUCUGCUGCGGUGAACAACCUUGGAUAGUGCUCCCGCAUCUCUGCCUCCGGCUCCCACGUCCACUCGAACCCCCUUUGAGGCUCCCACUGUAUCUUUUCCAAAGGUACCUCCUUGUUCCGCAAAACCUUCACCCUUCUCUCCAGAGUGGCCACAUACCUCUCAACAUAACAAAGGCGCUCACCGACCUGAAUGUCAUCCAACGAUACUACCGCCUCCUAAUCCCUGAUGCACUUUCGCAACUGCGAAACGUGAAAGAUGAUGGGGUUUGAGCAUUCUAACACUCCUAUGGUGUACAUGCAACCCUAUAAACCUUGGAUCUAUGUUUUCUCUAUUAUACAUGCAAAUAUUUGAUAUUCCAAGGUUUCACCCUAACUAGCAUAAUAUGAAGCAGCUAUACUACAAAAGCCUAGUUAGAUGACAUACCUUUUGAUGUAGCUUGAAGUCUUGAACUUUAAGAGCUUAGCCCCAAUAGUGUGUAAGCCUCAAGUGGAAUCACAAAUUACCAAAAACACCUUGGAAAACUUGAGAGAAUAGAAUGCACAGUAGAAAUUGGCCCACUCUUGUAUCCUCACACACUAGUCCAUUUCAUGUGCCAAAGACCUCUUUAUAUAGUAUGGAGGAUUAGGGUUACAUUCAUGUAAACCCUAAUACCCAUUACCUUUCAUUUCCAUAGGAUCCAUGGGUUAAAAACUCCAUGGAGUAUCCAUGAAAGCUUAGCUGUAACAACGGAAAUUUUUAAACAAAUUUUUCAUUUCUAAAAAUGUAUUUUCAUCCCAAACAAGGCAUAAAUAUCCAACGUAUCAUGUCAUAAUACAAAUCAUAUGAAUCCCAAGAUCAUAAAUCAUCUAUCAGUGUGUACAGAUCAUGUCGGCGCCUUCCCACGGUCCUCGCUAGUACCUGAAACACAUACACAACAACUGUAAGCAUAAAUGCUUAGUGAGCUCCCCAAAAUACAACUUAUGUGCAUACGCCUUUCCAGGCCCUGAUCUUCCGGUCCAUGUGUCUCAGGGGACUUCCGUCCCUGCUGGGUAAACCUUCCGGUCCUACCCACGCCAACCCCUCGGUCCACAUUACAACGCCUUCCGGCCCAUAACAUAUUCGCCUUCCGGCCCAUAACAUAAUGCCUUCCGGACCACAUUAAGCAUAUCAUACAUAGCACAUAACAAUUAACUUAUCACAUAUAACACAUAUGUCUCAUAUCAUAUUCGACCUUCCAUUCACACAAUCAGACCCUUCCGGGUACAAUAUAGUGAGAAGACUCACCUCGUGAAUAUCGAUAGCUAGCAAAUCCCGAAAUCACUCGUGCUCGAUCCUCCGAGCUACAAUCUCCCUAUAACAUCAUACAUCUCUUAUUAACACUUUUACCACUAAGGUUGACUACCCUUUUUAAGUCAACACUAGUCAACUCUUGGUCAACGGUCAACGUUGAACGGACUCGGCGAGUGCACUAGGGCGACUCGGCGAGUCUAGACGUUUUCACCAACUUUCUAGGAUUCCCUUNNNNNNNNNNNNNNNNNNNNNNNNNNNNNNNNNNNNNNNNNNNNNNNNNNNNNNNNNNNNNNNNNNNNNNNNNNNNNNNNNNNNNNNNNNNNNNNNNNNNNNNNNNNNNNNNNNNNNNNNNNNNNNNNNNNNNNNNNNNNNNNNNNNNNNNNNNNNNNNNNNNNNNNNNNNNNNNNNNNNNNNNNNNNNNNNNNNNNNNNNNNNNNNNNNNNNNNNNNNNNNNNNNNNNNNNNNNNNNNNNNNNNNNNNNNNNNNNNNNNNNNNNNNNNNNNNNNNNNNNNNNNNNNNNNNNNNNNNNNNNNNNNNNNNNNNNNNNNNNNNNNNNNNNNNNNNNNNNNNNNNNNNNNNNNNNNNNNNNNNNNNNNNNNNNNNNNNNNNNNNNNNNNNNNNNNNNNNNNNNNNNNNNNNNNNNNNNNNNNNNNNNNNNNNNNNNNNNNNNNNNNNNNNNNNNNNNNNNNNNNNNNNNNNNNNNNNNNNNNNNNNNNNNNNNNNNNNNNNNNNNNNNNNNNNNNNNNNNNNNNNNNNNNNNNNNNNNNNNNNNNNNNNNNNNNNNNNNNNNNNNNNNNNNNNNNNNNNNNNNNNNNNNNNNNNNNNNNNNNNNNNNNNNNNNNNNNNNNNNNNNNNNNNNNNNNNNNNNNNNNNNNNNNNNNNNNNNNNNNNNNNNNNNNNNNNNNNNNNNNNNNNNNNNNNNNNNNNNNNNNNNNNNNNNNNNNNNNNNNNNNNNNNNNNNNNNNNNNNNNNNNNNNNNNNNNNNNNNNNNNNNNNNNNNNNNNNNNNNNNNNNNNNNNNNNNNNNNNNNNNNNNNNNNNNNNNNNNNNNNNNNNNNNNNNNNNNNNNNNNNNNNNNNNNNNNNNNNNNNNNNNNNNNNNNNNNNNNNNNNNNNNNNNNNNNNNNNNNNNNNNNNNNNNNNNNNNNNNNNNNNNNNNNNNNNNNNNNNNNNNNNNNNNNNNNNNNNNNNNNNNNNNNNNNNNNNNNNNNNNNNNNNNNNNNNNNNNNNNNNNNNNNNNNNNNNNNNNNNNNNNNNNNNNNNNNNNNNNNNNNNNNNNNNNAAACACUCCAUGGACUAUCCAUGAAAGCUUAGCCCAACCUAAAUGAACUUGGCCCACCAUAUAUAUAAAAGAGUUCAUAUUUAAUUAGUUCCUUUUUGAUCACUAAAUUAAUUCUAAAUUAAUUCUUGAUCAAUACUAAUUAAAUAAUAUGAUUCCAUAUUAAUAUAUUAGAACUUACAAUAUAAUAAUAUAAAUCAUAAACAUACUAUUCUCAAAAGACUAUCCAUAUAAAUUGUUCCGGUGAAGUGCAACCCAAAUGGACCAUGCUACUCUCGGGUCGAAUACAUACCAAUAAUAGUUAUGGGCUUAGACAUCUAAUCCAAUAGUCUCCCACUUGGAUAAGUCUAAAACUAUUAUUGCAUAUGACUCCAAGAUCCGGACUAGCAAUCGUAGCUCUUAAAGCCACUGUCGAACUCUGACCUAGUCAAAUGAAGUGUCCAUUAGAUAAGGGAUCAUAUAUUCCUCCAUUCUAGAUAUCAUAUGGACUGAUACAUGGAUUAUAAUCAUUCUCUAUGUCCAUUUGUUGUUUCCCGGUUUACGAUUUAUGACGACUGACUCAUUGAACAAAUCAAAUCAGUCCAGGCUUGGCCAAGCACUUAGGGGUGUCAUCACUAAAUCAUCGAGGAGCCCACAAAUAUCGCUCUUAUCCCUCCAAGGGUAAAAGGAAUGGAUAAAAUUUGACUCAUAUGCUUGUCCUACUACCUGUUGAAUCAUACACAAAGACACGUUUUAUAACAUCAAGUUACUGGUGCGUUUUCGUGCAAUCAAUGUAUAACCAACUCAUAGUUAACAACUCAUAUCUCUAGGUUUGAAGAAUAUAAGAUAUUAUCGUCUCAUGAUCACUCGUGAUAAAAUCCAUGAAGCGAUUCAAAUAAGCGUGGGUUAAUCCAAUACUCAUAACUUAUGAGCACCCAUGAAUGUUGUAACAACUCUUGCUAUGUACAACACCUUAGACAUCUACAAGCCAACUUCAUGACAUGCUUGCCUUAAUCCCUACUUCCAACGUAUUAUCGACUGUGGAUGGUUUGAAUAACUUAGUUAUUCAGGAAGAAUUACCCAAUUAUUCUGGAAGUCAAAACAUACAAAGUGAAACACAAGAAUAAUACUAAUUUAAUAUGGCCCCAAUCACCUUUGAGAGUAAAUAGAACACCUUUUAUUUAAACACCAUACUGAUUAAUCAUUAUUCAUUGUAUAAUGUUUCAAAUUUAUCAACUUAAUACUUGAAUUAAAACAAUAGUGGUCCCAUGCUCCAAACAUGUACACUAUGUUUUCUAAGCAAUAAUUAUGCCAUACACCAAGUAUGCACACUAUGUUUGUCUAUGAUCAUUACUUUGUGAAAUAGAUCAAUUGAACAUAAUUUCAAUGAUUCUCAUUUCACAAUACCAAAUCCUUACUGUAAAUAUAAGAAUUCCAAAUUCCUACCAUUUACCGAAAUUUGUUAGAUUAUAAACUUGUAUGCAUUGAUCCUCUCGUAAUGAAUAUGCACAAAGUCACAAAGACUUGUCAACAGACCUUACAAAGUAUUCCAAUGGAGAUCAUUCCAUGGAACCGAAGUCUCAAAUUCAAAGUAAACCUUAGAUUGUCCUCGACAAUUGCUUAAUCAAAUUAGUCAUAUCCAGUUCUAGUACUUUAUCCCUCUUAAUGCCCUGUGCAUUUGGAAAAAUUUAGAACAAAUGAAUAUUAUAACACAUGUAAUCGAUCCUAUAUCUGAAGCAUAUGGGACAAGAUUCAUGAUGCAUCACAUAAAGACAUGAUACUAGACCGGUCUUUUGCUAUAAUAUUUAUUUUUCUAUUUGCCAUGUUCUCAUAAUUCAGAUCAUGAAAAGAGAUGCCGUAAUCACAAUCGAAUUUUAGAACGCAAAUAAUGUUUCCAUAUAUAGAAUUUCCUUAUGUUGAACUAUUCCAACAUAACAUUCAUAUAUAUACUUGAUUAAAUUUGAUUAAAAUCUCACAAUCUAAGCUCUUAGAUUUGAAAUUAAGUAUAAUUUUCUCUCUCAAUUAUAGCAAAACAAUUUUUUCUCAAUUGAAACCUUUUGUUUUCUAUAAUUAACAUUGCUACCUUGCAGCACUUACCAUAAUUAUCAUGCUCCCACUAACAUGAUGACUAUUAGCAUAACACUUAUGCUCCCACUAGCUUUGACAUGUACUCAGAAAUCAGUUGGACUUCUAGAAAUCAAUACUUUAUUAACUUUCUUACCAGAGUUCAGAUUUAUGAUACGAGAUGCUUCGAUAAAACUUUAUCAAAAUCAUACACUUAUCCUUAGAUAUCACACAUAUGUGUCUAAACAACUUUGGAAUUAUGAAAAGGGAUGUCGUAAUCAUAGUCUCAAUUGUUUAUACCUUUGCCAUUCCUCGCAAGUCCAUGUUAGUGUGCCGGUUAACCACACACGCUCCAUUAACGACUUUGAGAAUGCAAAUAUCAUAAUUGCUAUUUACUUAAAAUCACUUAGUGAAAGCAUUUCCUCACCAUUAUUUUCAUGAAUCGGAGAGAAACCUUAUGACACUUAGAUUUUAUGGUGUAUGUGUUCCUAUCCAUGUGAAUUUGUCAAAACCAUAAUCACAAGACAAGGUUAGUGACAAGUCCAAACUCAUAUGGACUAAACUCGUGCAAUCUUAACUUCUUGCCACUUGGCAACCCAAGGGUCUGUCAUUGCUUCCAAGUUGUUAUGCAACAAAUUGAGAACUUUUAGAACUCAUAUGUAAAGCCAACUUUAACUAGAAUGGGCACAAAAAUAGGAAUAUGUCAACACGAUAGGUUAUAAAUCUCUAGUUGUGUGCUAGUGAUAAACUACAAGUUUUAUUCUUGAAUAGAUCUUGAAAUUCUUUCAGGAUCUUUAAUACUCCCAAUGUCCUCUUGACAAAUAAGACUCUCUUGCCAAAUAUUCAAGAUAUAGUGCAGAUUCUUUAUCAAGACAAACACUUCACACAAUUGACCUUAGUUGGUCUUUGUUUUAUCCAAAACAUCACAACUUACCAAUUUCAAAUGUACAAGAGUAUAACACAUUUUACUUUUACAUUUGACAAGUGUUGAUAAGCCUUCUUUAAGAUGUGUCACUCAAGUUAUAAUCUUGGGGUAUGACUCUAAGACUUGUUUUGGAACGAAGUAUGACUCAUCUUCUUGAUUUAACCACUUUAACAAUUCAUGACCUCUCUUCUUAGCCAUAAGAAUGCAUUAAGAUGUCCUUAGAGGAUGAAUUAUGAUAUGGUCUCAAAAUCAUUAAGAUGAUCAUAAACAUGAUACUAAAGUACUUUUCCAUCUUUUCAGAUUUGAGAAACUUUUGUCUUUCUGCCAAACUUGAUUCCUCUCAUUCGUUCUGCCACACAUCGAAACUUUUCCAAUCUUUCAAAAUUAUACUUAAACUUCUAAGUAUAACCAUAUUCACUAAACUUUAGUAAAUCAUAACAAAUAGUCUUAUCGAUCUUUUGUGGCGGACCUGACCAUCGCACAACCAAGUGUACCCAAUCCCUUUGUUCUUCACUUGACUCACAUAUACAUGUGAAUAAGGAAUUAGUCUUAAUUUUCCAAAGAUGAAAAAUCUCAUUCAUCAUACAACUUGCAUGAUUCCAAGUUUCGGUCCAAUUGAAAACUUGGGUGAUGAGAAUCUUUCCUUAUUUGGUAAAUUUAGACACUACCACAAAUGAAAGAAUCAAAUUAAUAUUUCCAUUAUUGCUAGAAACAUGUAAACAUCAAUUUUCCAUAAAUGUCAUUGCAAGGAGAUACAAAAUAAAGCAAAACAAAAUUUUAUUUAUUUAUAAGUGCAGAAAAAACUUUUUCCUUACAAUGCAACUUUAAAUGAAAACUAUGUUAUUACAUAUUUUCUAGCAAUCUAUCAUAACUCCUAAGCAAGGUUCUAAAUAACGUAAGGCGUGACUUGGCGGCAAUGUCAAGCCUCAAGCUUUUCCGAGCCUUGGCGAGUCACGAUGUUUGUAAGGCGUGACUUAAGGCGGCAAUUUUCUAUAUAAUUAAUAUUUUUAUAUGUAUUUUCAACUAUUAUUCAUUUUUAUACAAAUAUAUGAGUUAAGGCAGCGUUUUGGCAAAGCUUGGCGGCAUGUGCAAACCUUGGAGUUGUGGCGUGCCAUGGCGGAGCCAUGGCGAGCUUUUUAGAACCUUGCUCCUAAGUACUAGCUCAAGAAUCCGAUCUUCAAACCAUGCGAUCGAAAUCCAUCUUCACGAUCAGAUUCAGCAUACUCUUUCUUUAAGUUUCCUCCCCUUUGCUUGAUCAUGCCAAACAUAAAAGUGUAACCGAGUCACAUUUUGUAUUAAGAGUCGUCAAUUAGGAACUUAACAAAGUUAGAUAUUGGACUUUACCUGAAGUAGAGUCAAACUUUUUGACUUUACCAUCCUUAUGAUCUUUCAGGUAAAUUUUGCAGCUUCGCAACCAAUGCCCCUUCCUUUGCCAAUAGAAACAUUUGGACUCUCUGGGAAUGGUACACGGGACAAUCUCAGACUUAGCCUUUCUCUUUACCAUUUGGUCAACCGAGUUGACUAUGGCCGAUCCCUUUCCAUUGGGAAGAGAAAGCUUUUCUGGAUAUCCAAUGUUACCAAUUGUUAAUGUCCAUGGUAGUUUGGGAAGUUGAUCUUCUAAUUAUAUUUGCUUUACUAGAGCUCCAAAUCAUUGUUGAUUCAGCAACACCAAGCAAAUAGAUAAGAUCAUUAAGGGUCAUGUCAUAGUCUGUUACAUAGUAAUCCUUAAAGAACUCACUAUGUGACAUAGAAAGUGAUCGAAGAACCAAGUCAACAACCAACUUCCUCAAGACUUUGAAACCCAACUCUCCUGACUUGUCAAUAUGUGACUUCAUCUCCAAGAUGUGAGCAUACAUAGACUUUGCUUGCCAAUAGGGCUUGAGUGACCUUGAACUUUUCAAGAACUUGUGGGUUAAGGAGAAUAAUUGGAGGAGGUGGAGGAAGAGAAGUACAAUUUCCAUUUACCAACCACAAAACAUCAUCUUUAUUAGGAAAGCUUGUUCCAAAAGAUUUGGGAAGAUCAUAGUUGUCUGAACCAGACAUCUAUAAUGGGAGAAAUUCAAGUUAGUUGAUUUAAAGUUCUUAAUAUAACACCUAACAUGAAAUAUUAAGUAUAGGACCCAACACAAUGUUUUAUAACUUUGAAGAGGGAUGCCGUAAUCCAAGCUAUAAAAUAUUUGAAAGUAGGCGAAUGACGAUUCACCAAUUUCCACCAUGAAAAACGAAAUAAUUUAUUAGGUUUUAAUUGGAUUUGAAAUUCCUAGAUCUUUUGAGAUUCAUUGAACUUUUCAAUGACAUGUUUCAAUCUCGAUUGUGCCCUCUCAAGUUUUGUGACUGGGAUGACGAGGAUCACAAAACAAGAUGUGAAUAACCAUGAAAAUAUACUUGGUACCCUUAAUAUUUAUCACUUAAUCGAUGUGCCGGUUAACCACACGCGCUCCACCGAUUCUAUGAUAAACAUUAAGUUACCCUUUUCCUACCUUGUUAAAUCCAGGCUAGUGUGCCGGUUAACCACAUGUGCUCCACUACCGAGUUAAGCAAAGUGCAAAGUGUAAUUUCAUGGGUUAGCACCAAAUUCACAUUUUCCUAAAGUAACUAAGAUUGGGAAUUUAAAAAGGUUUAGUUACUUUAUAUUUAUCAUUAUACGUAUAAUGAAGGGAGAAUUAUAGUCCUAUCCUACCCGUUCGGCUAACGACACUCCACCAGUCAAGGAAGUCAUGGGUGAGAGUGGACGCCCAUUAAACUGCCAUUUUAUAGGCAGUAACCUUAUACCCCCUUAUAGACCGACUUCGUGAAUGAGGCCUACUAAUGGUAAGACUGACUUUAUUCUUAUAUAUAUAUAUAUAUAUAUAUAUAUAUAUAUAUNUAUAAGGGUUUAAUUUUAACUUUUAAAAUUCUAAGGACUUAACUUGGAAUUAAAGUAUUCAUGAGGGGAAACUUUACAAAUUCCAAAACCUGAGGGCAAGUUUUGAACUAUUCAAAACUUUUGGAUUUUCAUAGCUUAUGAGUUUAAUUAAGGUUUUGAAAAAACUUUAAUGAAGAGACUUUUGAUCAUGCAUAAUUUGAGGACAAGUUAUGGAGUUCAUAGAACAAUUUAUGAUGAAAAAGACUCUUUAAUUGUGUAACCUAUGAAUUUUAAUGGAUCUUUAAAAGAAACGACUUUUGGUAAUCGAUAACUUGAGAACAAAUUAUG